rnacentral:lncRNA from 1 species
CAAGGAAAACGAUUUAGGAUACCAGACUAUUUACAAUUCCAGCCUCAUUUCCCAAAUAUUAUUCCUGACAGAACAAGGUAAUACAUACUGAUAUCCCAGAAUGUACCCGGCAUUCAUUACCCAGCUCAAUCCCUUCGGUAUAAACCCACCACGACAGUCUCAACUAAACAAAUAAGCAGAAGAAUCAACAGGUACUACGUCCAGCAAUCAAGGAAACAACUAUGAAAGCUAAGGCGACAUCCUUCGCCAUCGUCAGCGCAUUUGGCUGCCAAGACGAAACGGUUCAACUACCUCGCCGACGGCCUGGGUGGCCGGGCUUGUGGCUGCUGGCCCGGCGGCGAAGGGAUGUGGCUCUGGGAAUGCUGUAACAUCUGAACCAUGGAUGGCGUCUGAUAGGAGUGAACAAUGGUGCUGCUCUCUGUCGAGUCCCCGCGUGUCGUCGCUCGCUGCCAGGAGUGCGAGCUCAGUCCAGAUAGCAUGUAUGCCCUCCCUGAAGCUUCAUAGAGCUGGCGACUCGCCAUCCUCUCCUGCAUCUCCCUCAGCUCUGCGUCAAGGGCCAAGGAAAGACGGUCCCCGCUCCUGCUUGCAAAAGACUCUGAUAGUCUCCUCCUGCAGUCCUCCAGAAUUGUCACAGCCUCGGCAAGAGCACCCCUCUCAGCAGCAGCCCUCGCAGAUUCGAUAGAAUCAGCGGCCUGUAUGCGGUUCCUCUCACGGUCAACCUCAAUGGAUACAUGUUCAGAUAUGGCGGAUGUCGGCCUGUUGAUCUUCACCUCAUCUACUUGAAGCUUGAUGGUCUCAUUAGUUAGAUCCCUGUAAGAACAAGCAACCUUUAACAGUGAGGUCUGUUCGCGACACUGUGGGAUGUUCGCCGACAGCAAAAUGUCCCUCUCCUCAUCAGCAUACAGAUGACCAAUAUCAACUGAACAGCUCCGCCCAUCCCUUGCCAUCAUGCUUGGGUAGCUACCAGAUUUGAUGGAACAGAGUUGAACACCAGGAUGAACACAUUCCAUGUUGAGUCGCAUCUCCUGUACGACAACACUAAGAAGCCCAUCAAUGCAUUGAGCAAACGCAUCCUGCAUCACGCCUUCAUCUUCGAUAAAGGAAAAUGUGCCACCAGAAGCUUCAGCAAUUGAAUGCAGGGAGUCUGAAUCAUGGUCUGCUCCAAAUCCAAAAGCAUGAAUAGGCAGCAUACGCCGUGUAUCAUCCAGAAUAGACUGUGGGACAAGUGUGCUAUAAUCUUUCGGGCCCCCUCGAACAUUUGAGCUAAGGUUGUAUGUAUCUUGCCCGUCAGACAGAAGAAUGAUGCUGCACACUGAAUUUUUAUAGCUGCGAUCCUCAAUCACCUUUGUAGCUUUCUUAAGUGCUUCAGCAAUGUUUGUGCCACCACCAGCACCAAGCGAGUUAAUAGCCUGCAAAGCCUGCUGCCUGCCAUAAUGCGACAUGCGCUGAAGGUGGAACAGCCUUCGGGCAGAAGAUGAGAAAGCAAUUACAGAAAGGCGAUCAGAUGGACCAAGGUGUUGAAUCACAAAGCCCAUUGCCCGCUUUAGCAGUGCCAGCUUGGUGCCUGCCAUACUGCCACUAAUAUCAAUCACUGUGACAAGAUCAACAGGAGCACGUCCGCUUGGGGAUCUAACUGAGCUUUCAUUGACCAAUCUGCCUGUGACCUGGUCUGAGCUAGCACUGGGAGCUUUCAGGUGGAUCAGGACAGAAAAUCCAGCUUGAGAUGAUGACUGUGGAAUGGAUGAGAAUUCUGGAUAUGUACUGAUUUCUGCAGUCUUCUUAGACCGAGAAUUAAGACUGUCAGUAGCUUCUGUCUGCUGUAAAGGUUCAUCGUCAUUGAAGUCUGUUGGCUCAGAAGUAUGUAAGCGACGAACUCCUUGCUGACGGUUUGGAACUUGAUGGAGAAGAGCCACAUAGGCAUCUUGUUGUGGCAAUUGGACUCCAUUAAUUCCACGUCUUCCAUCAGGAAUGUUGGAAGAGAGUGAGCGAUUCAAGGGUAUCUCUUUCCACUUUGCCCGGCAGACUGGGCAGACAUGAUUCCCAUGUUUCACAUUGGAUGAAAUGCAGUGAAAAUGGAACUUAUGAGAGCAUUCUGCAGUGAACAAGGCUUGACCAUGGCCUGAUCUCAUAGAGUCAAAGCAUAUUGCACAUUUCCUCUGUUCAAGUACAAAAAAAAAUAGAGAUCAAUAUAAUUCCAUCAAAAUCUACCCAAAAAUAAAUAAAUGAACAGCUUCUUGGAUGGCACAUAUAUAUGUUGUUCUGCAAAUGGUCUAAGCUACAUUGUAAACUCAUUAACUCAAAGGAUAUCCUACACAAAAAUGCAAACUGCAGGCUGUGCUCCUGAUCAAAUUAGAAGAAACAAAAUACAUAAACCUUACUAAAGACAUGACAUUACAUCGCAAGUACUCAAAUUUCUGUUGUAAAGAGUUCAGUUUUCUUUUAUGAAAAGUCGGCGAGCAUGCACAACAAAAUGUCAGCUCAAUGUGGUAGACAGGAAAAGAUCGGGAGCUAGACAGGAAAAGAAUUGAAUUUAGGGUUAUUGUGGAUGGGCCUUUGGCUAGUUGAGUAUGAGCUAGACACACAGUUACAUAAACAGAAAUUGCGGAACUGUUUCUGUUUCCAGCAGAAACAGCUAUUCCGACUACGUAUCUUUUUCCAGGGCAAAGUUUCCGCUUAAGCUGGGAAUUUUUCUGUUUAAGUUUCCGGAAAAUGCUCACCGUUUCCAUUUUUGCAUGGAAAGGACAAACAUUCAGUUCCAUUUUGACCCUGCCAACGCUAGCCUACGAAAGGACAUUUUUCCUGUGUCUGGGUCUGGUACCACCUUACAUACACGAUAAAAAGAGAAGACAAUGGCACAACUCUAUCAAACCACAAAUCAAACUCCAUUAUAAGAACAGGGUAACCAACAUCAAGUCUAGCACUUUGUUUUUGAUUGGUCCAUCACCAUCGAGAAAAUAUAAAUGGUUGUGUCAACUAUUAUACAAAGAUAAAGAGGUAGUGUUUCACAGAGAUAAAGAGGCUAACUGUUUCAUGAAUUUGCCAAACCAACUACUACGAGCAUACGGAGGUAAAUGUUUGUGUCAACUUUUACAAACAAAACCAGGUUAACUAUUUCAUGAAUUUGCCGAAACGAAAGUACAAACCAAGUACACCCUUUGAACAGGGACCAACCGCCUACCACCAAACUUUCAAAGCAAAGAAAAAAUCCGGUCUUAUCCCCACAUGUUGUUAUACUGAAGCAAUUGACCAUUCACUUUGUAUAUAUUAUCACCACCAUAAGUUUCAACCCCCUAUAUUUAACUUCAAUGGUUUUGCAAAUGGUAAAAGCUACCUUCACAUGCAAAGUAAACCCGCCAACUCGAAGGACGUAACCUACAAGAAUGUAAUACACAACAAAAGAACCAAAACAAAACUAGGUGCAGGCUGUGCUGCGGUCGGUCCAACUUAUAAAAAAGAACACACAGAAAACAUAAAUGUUAUUACAUCCAUCAGAAGUAAUUCACUUCCUGUUCAACAAAAGUUUAUUUGUUACAUGGAAAAGCGCACAACAAAACGUCAAAUAAAGAGGCGCAAUCCUCGUGAGGUCGCUUGCUGAAUUGUCAUAGUACGUAUGGUCAAACCAUGCAUGCAGUUGCAGUUGCAGUUGCAGUUGGCAGUCAAAGCACAUUCACCACAGAAAAAUAAAUGAUAUACCAUAAACAAGAAACAAUUUCAUGAAUUUGCAUCGCUGGUGCCAAGUUGGAGCGUUUGCCAUAAAUACAGAAAGCUGGUGGUAGGAGGAAAGAGUCGGGGAUUUGCUCCACGUGACGGCGCCACGGGCGGGUGAUGAGCAAAGGAAGCAAAGCUUUUCGCGGUCCUUUUCAGGGGAGGGGGCAAGUGGAAUUCAUUAAUAGUGGGAUGCAAUAGGAAAGUGGGCCCACGUCGUACGCAAUUAUGCAUAUCCAAUGCAAAGUCAAAUCUGGAUUAGCUUAAAAAGAUAUGGCGCUGGGCAGAUCACGGCUGGCGCAACACUGUAUUGGAAGUUUGCUACUACUACUAUCUGCUGCCGGGGCAAAGAAGUGAAUGGUCCAAAGCCACAACAAUACUCCCACUAGUACACAGCAAUACUAGUAGUACAGGAUUGAAAACAGGGACAUGUAUGAUUCGGAAGGGGCGCACGAAACAAAGCAGCGGCGGCGAUCACGAGGACGAUGGCUACGCUCGGGAUCGGCUGCAGUCUACAGGGGUGGUAAUCCACAGAAGUAUCUUCUUCCAGGAGCGCUGAACUUGUGAAACGCUUUGAAAAGCAACAAAGUCUAAAAUAUCUUAAGCAUGCAGAAAAUCGGUCGUCUACUGGUAACAAAUCUUAGGCAGGUCAGGAGAACCCGAAAUCCGCGCGGACGGAUACGCAUCUCGCUAUAAACCGGCAUUUCAAAUCUAAUUCAGUAAACGCAGGGCUCCCGAUUUUAUUUGAUUUUGUUUUAUUUUGCGUUAGAAACGCGAGGUAUUAUUACUCGGAAAGCGCAAACGGAAACUGCCUCACCUUGGAGGAGGACCUGCUCCCGGACUUGGACCUCCGCAACGCGCCGCCGCCGCCAGCCGCCGGCUCCUCGGGCGCCGACCCCACCGUCACGGCCGCCUCGCCCCGACACCCGCCGGCGCCCGACGCCGCCGGCCUCCCAUCGCCGCCGUCGCCCUCGGCGGGGGCGAGCACGCAGAGACGGAGGGCCAGCGCCCGCUUGGCCUUCCUCCACGCGCUCUCCAUCGGGCCCGCCUUGCGCCGCGAUCCCGAUUCCCAGGCCCGAACCAACCCGGCUCUCCCCGCUCGUCUGGCUCUUAUACCGCCGCUAUGCGGCCAGGAGGGCUGCGGCUGUGGUGGAAUUGGAGGGGAGGCGGCACGACAUUAGUGACUGGAGGUGGAGCGUUUGGGUGCGGCUUCUUCCCUUGUGUCCUCUGGCUUGGUUUGACCCGCGGGAGGGAGGGGAGGAGAGGAGAAACGUGCAAGGGAUGCCAAGGGAGGGAGGCGGGGCACAGGUCAGCGUGCGGGUUUAAAUCCAGUGACGGGUGACGACGGGAACGGGGGUUUGGCUCCUUUCCGGCGUUUCUUUUUUUUUUUUUACAGCAGGCAAUCAAGUCGCCGGGAGAGGCGGCGGUGAGGAGGGAGGGAGCGCCCUGGUUGGAGCUGGAGGUCACAAGAUAUCGGGGGGCGGUGCAAUGAAUUCUGGGUCGCCCCUGCCAGCGGAGCGGUUGAACGGGGACGGUAGUAUAUUUAAAUAUGGAUUUUCGUUACAUUUUAAAGUUUCUUAGUAUUUGAAUAUUUUAAAGUUUGUUCAGAUAUUUGACUAGCAAAACGUUAAUGGGUGUCAACAAAAAAUACGUUGUUGAAUUCGUAUUUGAAUGACUUUUACAAUGAUGUUGUUUUGGUACGUACAACUUAUAUUUUAACAGUUAAAAUCAUGGUCGAAAUAUGAUGGGGACUAGCGAACCAGGAAUCAGGAAUAUUUUACAAACUAUAAGGCUCUAAAGGAAUUUUCUGUACAAGAAUCAUAUCCUAUACAAUUUAUACAAAAUUCUUACGAACCGAAGGAGACCUUAACUAGGCAACUUCGUAUUUUUACUCCGCAUGUUCCUAUUAAUAUAUGAUGCACUCAUAUUGCAAGGUCCAACUUUGACCAUCAAUCUGACUAACAAAAUGUUUGUUACUGUAUGUCACAAAAAUUAUACUAAUUAAUGAAUAAUUAAUAUAUUACUGAUGCUAAUAAUGGUCAAAGUUCAAUCGCAGAAAACGAGGAGAUAAAGACGACGAGAAUAAAUUAUUUUCAACCAACAGCUGGAUCCAUUUGUAAGCACGAAUUAUGGCAAUAGAUAUGAUAUGGAUUGGUACAACCCCCUUCUGUCCAAACUCAUACCCACAGAAAUCAUCUAUACCCACCCACUUCAAUACCUGUGGGCACAAAUUGACACAAAUGCCCCUACCCAAUGGAUAUUCGGUGUGUAUAAUAUAUCGCAUUACCAUAUACAAAAGUAGAGAAAUUAAUCACGUAGGACAUAUGAGAAGUAGCAGGCCGGUGGGCUACAACUGGUUUCGGGAAUCAUGGUUUUUUGGUUUUUGGUAGGAUCGUAGUGGUUUGAUGUUAACCCCGCAUGUCAUAUGAUUUUUUUUCAUAUAUUAACUCUUUUUGGGUAUCCAUUGGGUUACUCACAUACACAAUUUCAUACCAAUGCCCUAGCCAUAUUUUGCGGGUAUGGAUACCAUUACUGGGUACAAAUUAAAGUCUCAUCCCAUGCCCAUUGUAUUCGGGCAAGUACCCACGGGUACCCAUACCAAUGGGCAAAACUGCCAUCCCUAGACGACUAUAUGAAAUUUUGUCAAUAAUUGAUGAGCCAUAUCAGAUACAACCAUGGUAGAUAAGGAUUUGAGUUGUCCGCCUAGUCGACCGCCAUGUCAUCCUAAUAAAAUGGACCCACCGUGUUAGUUCGGGGAAAUAAUGAAUUAGAUAGAUGCGGCAUGAGACCAAAAAAGGGACAAUAUGGCUACACAAGAUCACCCCCUGAGAAUAAAGUGUGAAAUUUACUCCUUUUGUAAAAAAAAUUGUCUACGUAUAAGACAUAGGACCAUCUUGAUAACAAUAUGUCCAUGAUUUCUUCAUGCUCUAUCAUCUUCUUCUUGAGACGAAGGAGGGAGUCAAAAAGAAAAAAGAAAAAAAAAAGGAGAUAAGACAAUGAAAAAACUGUACAACAGAGAUGUAGAAGGGCCCCAAAUGAUAAAGACGAUGUUCAUAAUAAUCUUCAAUUAGGAGAUGUGAUAGAAAAGGAAGAGAUAUAAGAGAAGGCGUGGAAAGCACAUGAAUGGCAACAGUAUUGGUGUCAUUGGAGAUUCUUUAAGGCCCUGCUUGGGAUGGGCGUAAAUUUCUGCACAUGUUUUUAUUUUACAGGCGUAAACUAUCAUCCACAUCUCAUUUUCCACCUGGAAACAAAACGACGCGUCCAAUGCGUAUCCUUAUCUAGGUGAAUACGAGCGAAAACAGUAAUCUAAGCGGGCCUAAGUGGUUCCAUGUACUUUACGUAAAACCCAUGUGUGUAAGCUUACUUUUUUUCUCCUUUUAAAAUGACAUAAAUUGUCCUAUUGGUGGAAAGUCUAGCAUAAAAAGGAACCGAUAGAUUCACGCAAAUGUUUUAUCAUUGUGCAUUAGAAGGAAACGACAAGAUUUUUUUUAGGCUAACUGGCAGGUGUUCUGCCUUUUCAUUAAGAUUAGGAGUGAACAAAAAUUGUUACAAGAAGUGCGGGGGCAUGGAAGGAAGAGGGUCCAGUAGCCUUAGGCUCUGGCUGUACAUUCAGAAUGGCUACGUUUCCUGACUAUGGGAGAACAACAAGGAUAGGUCAUCGGAGGUCAGGCGUGAGACAGCGGCAGCCGAGCUAGAGGACUGCCGAAAGAUCCUUCUGUUGCGUUCGUUCCAGACAUGCCAUGCAUGGUAGGCAGCGGCAGCAGCAGCGUGUUUGCUCAUGGAGGAGAAGUGGAACCACCAUUCUUCAGUUCCCUGGAAGGGAGGCAUUGGUAGCAGAUGUAGUGUUGGAAUGGCAGUUCUAAGAAGGUGCCACACCUCCUUGCUGUACGAGCAAUGGGUAGUAAGGUGCAGUGCCGUCUCAGGCUGUUGAUCACAUAGCACACAGGUCGCCGCUUGCGUACCACCUCUGGUGCGAAGUCUAUCAACAGUGGGAAUCCUGUUCAGCGUCAACAUCCAGGCAAAAAAUUUCACCUUGGUCUCCAUUCUCAUUGACCAUAUCUUUGCAAGCGCCGGCUGGGCAAUGGUACCAAAGAACUGUGCAUUAUAGGCUAUUUUUGCACUGUAGACACCAUUAGUCGUCCAAUUCCAGCAGAUGGAGUCCUCAGUGUUAGAUAAAGUGAUAUGCUGGAUGAUGCCCCAGAGGUUGAUGAAUUCAUGAAGGGCGUCAGGCGAGUUUAGGUGCUGGAGCCCUUUCAUCCACCGGCCAUCAAUCAAUGUUGCAGCAACCGUUGCACAUUUACGUGCAGCCAGCGGAAAGAGGUUGGGCGCAAUAUCUUUUGGUGCAGAGCCAUUCAGCCACCGGUUGGACCAGAAAGAUGUUGUUGCUCCGUUGCCAAGGGUGACAGUGGUAGAUGCGUUAAACAACUGGUAAUCAGUAGGGCUGCAUGGUGUGUUGGAUCCAAUCCAUGGCCUGGAGGACCUUUCCCAGGCAAACCACAACCAUCUGAUCCUAAGGGCUCUACUGAAGAGAUCCAGAUUCUUGAUGCCCAGCCCUCCACAGUUCUUUGGGGAGCACACUUGUCUCCAAUUGACAGCACAGUUUCCACCAGUUGCAUCUUCAUCUCCUUUCCAUAGGAACCCUCUCCUAAUCUUGUCCAUUCUCUUGAUGAGCCACUUUGGAGGAGGGAAGAUAGUGAAGAAAUAAGUGGUCAAAGAGGUGAGAACAGAGUUGAUGAGAGUUAGCCUGCCCGCCUUGUUGAGGAGCUUCCCUUUCCAUCUUGCGAGCCGAGCAAUAAUCUUGUCAAUGAGAGCUUGGAAAUCGGCAUGUCUCGGGUUGCGCAGCCCAAGAGGAAGGCCCAGGUAUUUGCACGGGAAGCAGCAUGUUUCUCCUUCGAAAUCAGCCAACAGGUAAGCAGUUUCAUCAGAUUCACAAUUGAUGGGGAAGGCAGAUGACUUGCUGAAGUUGGUGUGCAGCCCGGAGAUCUGUCCAAAAAUGGCCAAAAUGGAUAGAAGCGAUGCCACCUCCUAUUUUACAGGGUUGAUGAAGAGAGCUGUGUCAUCGGCAUAUAAGCUGAUGCGAAGCUUGGCCGAGCGGAGGGCUAUCGGGCUGAGAAUAUUGGCAUCAGAGGCUUUGGAGAGGAUCGCUUGUAGAGGUUCGAUGGCCAGUAGGAACAGGAAAGGAGAUAGCGGAUCGCCUUGUCGCGGCCCAUGCCUAUGGUAGAAGGGGGGUCCAGGGGUUCCAUUGAGCAUCACACGGGAGGAAGUCGACGCCAACGACAGAGCGAUGAGGUCUCUAAAUCUCUGACCAAAGCCAAACUGGGCAAGGGCAUCCAGAAGAUAGCUCCAGCGGACAGAGUCAAACGCUUUCGCAAUGUCAAGCUUGAUGAAGAUGGCCUUCUUUUUACUUCGGUGGAGAUUUCUGAUCAGGUUUUGGACGUAGAGGAAAUUGUCUUGAAUGCUGCGGUUCUUUAGGAAAGCACUUUGACUGUGGGAGAUGAGGUGUUGCAUCUCGGGAGCUAAUCUUGUUGCCAGCAUCUUGCCAAGUAGCUUAGCCACACUAUGUGUCAGGCUGAUGGGGUGAGAAUCAGAUGGACGCAAGGCAUUGUCUUUCUUCGGGAUGAGGGCAAUGUAGGCUGUGUUCAGCAGAUUCCAGCAGUUUGCAUUGAGGGCAGAGAGUUGGUUAAGUGCAGCCAGGAGGUCCACUUUGAUUGUGUUCCAGCAAACCUUGUAAAAAAGACCAAUAAAACCAUCAGGCCCCGGUGCUUUCUCUGAGGGGGAGUCUUUGAUUGCCUUGAGCAACUCGUCCUGAUCAAAAGGAGCAUCAAGGUGACUUAAAUUUGUCCGGGGCAGCUGCAAAUAAUCCCAGUUCACCGUUUGGGCAGGGGCAUCAUCGUGGGGGCCAAGGAUCCGAGAGAAGUGAUUCAACAGAGCCGCCGCCUUGUCAUCUUUAUCAGAAAUUACUGUUCCAUUCAUGUGGAGGAAGGGGAUGUGGUUUUUUCGCCGACGACCAUUUGCCCGCAAGUGAAAGAGUCUGGUGUUGGCGUCACUGGCCCUUAUCCAGACCAGUCGAGAUCGUUGGCGCCAUUUGAUGCGUUCAAUUGCCGCGAAGACGAGCAGUCGAGACUUGAGAAGUCGUCGUAGAUCAAACUCCUGUGGUGACAGGUUACGACUUUCCUGGGCAAUAUCAAGCUGCAGUAUAACCUUAGAGGCGAUGGCAGAUUGGAGCUUUCGUUGGCGAAUAGUCAACUUGCUCCAGCACUUAAGAGCCUUGGCCACCCUUGUCAGUUUAAUAUGAAGACGCCGAACUGGGUUAGCAGAGAGAACCGGCUUGUUCUAGGCUUCGGAAACAGUCUCUUGGAAGCCUGCUGCCUUAGGCCACCAAGCCUCAAAGCGGAAGCCAAAGAACUUUUGAUUGCUGAAGUUCUUCAGGAUGAGUGGGCAAUGAUUAGAGAUUUCAGUGGAGCCGGCUAGAAGCUGACAUCUAGGAGAGAGUUCCUCCCAUUCCUUAGAGAAGAGCACCUUGUCGAUCUUGGUGUGUGUUGAAUGAAGCCGCUCGUUGGACCAGGUGAAACGGCGACCAAUGAGGGGGAGCUCCUUGAGGUUCAGAUUAUCUAUGGCAGCCCGGAACCGUCUCAGCAUCGCAAGGUUGACGUUGCCAUUGCUCUUCUCGUCCAUUCUGCUAAUGAGGUUGAAAUUGCCCAUGAUCAGCCACUCCUGUUUACACAUGGGCUGCAGCGCACGCAUUUCAUUGAGGAAAAGAAUCUUGCCAGCAUCUUCUUGGGGGCCAUACACGCCAGUUAAAGACCAAACAGCAUUGGAGGCGAGAUCAGUAACAAGCACACUGACGGAAUAAGCUCCAACAAGCAGAGGUUGUGGGUGAUGGUGUAGUGGUCAGAGGAUGCCGCAAUGAGUACACCACCUCGGGUGCCAAGUGCCGGCAGAUAUGCAAAGUUGUUGACAAAGCUAGCACCCAGAGUUUCAGAGACAAUAGCAUUGGAGAUAUUGGACAACUUGGUUUCCUGCAGGCAUACAAGAUUGCAUCUAUGAUUCGAGACCAUAUCUCGCACAACUGAUCUUCUAGCCGGGUUGUUCAAGCCCCUGAUGUUCCAACUUAGACAUGAUCCAUUCAUGGCGGAAACUGAACACAACUAGGUGGAGAAACACUGACAAAGAACAGGGUAGCAGAGGGGGGAUACACUGAAAACGGGUACAUAGUUGGUGUUGUAGCAGUCAUGGAGCUGUCUUGGGUUGGCCCAACCAUCGCCACUGCAGGGGCUAAUAUCCUAGGUGGCCACCGUCACGGCAGUCCCCGCUGCUAGCGGCGCAGCCGGCAGUGUCGUCUUCGCCCUCUUCAUCGCGGUGGCACCCCCCUUCCUUGUGGUAGACACCAGCGAGGUGACUGCGUUGAUGAAGUAGGGGGGGAGCGGGUGGCCGUAGGGCUCCUUGUAGCGCUGGAUGUCAGCGUCGGAGGCCGACAAAUCUGGCAGCAGCUAGCCGAAUUUCUUGAGGAGGACAACAUGAAUCUUGUCGAGGGUGGCCAUGCCAUGCGUCGGCUUGGCCGCAAGGCGGCCACUGCACCUGGAUUCGUUGGGGAUUAGCUGUUGGGGUGGUGCAAAGGUGGGUGGCGGCAAAGUGGGCACAGCCAGAGGCGGGGUUGGUUGUGUCGGCGUGGCCAGCAGCGGCGGCAUGGUGGGGCGAGUGAAAGUGGCGAUGAAGUGGUCGAGUUGUUCCUCCUGUCUUUGGCGUGCGGUUGUGGGCUGCACGUUGCUUGUGAAGCCCUCCACGAGUUCAUACAGGUCUGGGGGUAGGCCCGAAGGGUUGGUGGCACCGGCAUCUUGGGCUAAGGCCUCGAAAUCCUGGGCCGAGGAAGCAUCAAGGAGGACGAGAGGCGCGGGGGCGAGGCCCAGACCUAGCGCCACGUCUCUAGGAUCCUUUCCAAAGUACUGCAGCGAGGUGCGGUUAAGGUCGUUGCUCGCAGGUACGGUCAGCGCGGACAUAAGGGUUGCAGGGAAGGUAGGCACAGCGUCAUGGCCGGCCAGUUUGUCUUCAAGUACCAACGCAGGGGCGGGGCCAAGGCCCACCAGUGCAGGAGACAUGAGAAAGGGAACUGGCACUGAACCCAGUUUGGAUCGCUCUGGAUCAGACACCAAGGAGGCACCAACGGGCAUGCACACAGCCUCCGAGGCAUGCAGAGCUCCUGUAGCUAGAUCAGAGGUGGGGGGCCCGCCUGCCGCACCGACAGCGUUGUCAACUGCGCCCACCGUGAUCACCCCAGACGGAGGAGACCAGGCUCCGUGAGGUGGGCUUGUGAGUCCAGCCGGCACGGCCAGCGUUAUCUGAUGUGAAGGAGUAGGGCCGUCACCGUGACGGCGCCCUCCGUGAUCACCGCCGCCUCCCCUGCCAUGGGAGGUGGCAGAAGAGCGGCCAUGGCCACCGACCGGUGUCGGAUGCUGCCGGCUCGAUGACUGGCCAUCUCGACGCCCUUCCCAUUCGCCCCCUUGUCCGCCAUCAGGCCCGUCUCCAUCGCCACCGCCUCCAAAAUUGAGGCGGGAAUGGACGGAGGCCCUGGGGCUGCAUGGGGGGAAGGUGUCGUCGGUGAACUUCCGGUGCUAGUUAUAGCGCCACUUGACCACGCCAUCGUCGGGGCAAGAUGGCUGGAUGUCGCUGAUGUCGCAGCUGGAGCUUUCGUUGCUGACGGGGCCAACGGAGUAGUCGUGCACCCAGUCGAGGUGGAUGAUGAUGGGGUAGUCCAGCAGGGAGAUCGGCGCGAAGUGCCGGCGCACCGCGGGCGCAGCCUCCAUGAACUGACGAUGGAAGUCAGGCGAAGAAGGGUUGCAUGGCUCCUCCACCCAAAGCAUACCUCUCGUGGCGAUCUUGGACACGUCGUCUACCCAGGCCCACGCGCAACAGCAGUCUGACUCCUGGUCAGUGAACAGCUCCUCGUCGAUGGAUUCGACAAUGGCCGUGGGCAGCAGCAGUUGCUUGACAUCGGCGAUGGACCAGGCGUGCCUUGGGGCGCCCUCUAGGCAGACCCGAACCUUGUAGGGCAGGCGGACCACACCGGCCUGUAGUGCCCUGAGACCGAUGCGCCAGGUGUCUUCCAGUUAUUCGUCGUCGUUGCCAUGUCAUUUGCUUGAGUGUUGCAUCGUGUCAUGUCAUCAUGUGCAUUGCAUCAUCAUGUUUCAAAACCUGCAUCCGUCCGGGUCUUUCGGUUCUCUCCGUUGUCCGUUCUGAGCCCAGACACACUUGCACGCGCCCGCGACAUGUCCGAAAUAUUAUUUUAUAAGUGGCAGGAAAAUGUUCUCGGAAUGGGAUGAAAGUUGGCAUGCGGUGUUUUUAUGUUGUAGGUAGGCCGCCUGCCAAGUUUCAUCGCGUUCGGAGUCCGUUUGACGCCCCAACGGAUAACUAUAGCGGCAGUAUAGCCGGUCUAACGUCGGACGUUUUCGGUCUCCGAAAACUGUUGCCGGGCUUUCCCUCUCUUUCCUCUCUAGACCGUCUACACAGCCCACUACCUACCGUUAGGUCCAACCUAACCUCUCUUGUCAGCCCACAGCCCUCCUCGCGCGCGUCCGAAAGCUGCCCCGGACCCGAACCGGACUUUCGUCGCUGUUGUGUCCAGAUCAUCCCCAAACAUCUACAAAACGUCUCCGUUUUGUUAAUUGGACUUCCUAGUCUAUUUUUUUCCCGACCCUCCGAUUACGAUCAUAGGGACGGAUUAGUCCCUAAAUGUCUCCCUCUUUCUUUAUAUAUAUAUAUAUAUAUAUAUAUAUAUAUAUACUCUCUAGUCUAAAUCUAGACCAAACCCUAACUUCUAGGCGCUCGUCCCUACCGCCGCCGCCACACUUAUUCCCCAAAUCCCCAUCGGGAUCUCACCCACAGCCAACCACAAACCUCCCCUGGUCUCCUCCUUGUUGUCCCAUCGAACCAAUCCCACCGCACCAGCUCCUCCCGAUCCAUCGAGCACCUCCUCCUCCCCGUUCAAUCCAGAGGAGUGGAGCUCCUCCGCGCCCACGCCUCCUCGCACCUUCCUUCCCUACUCCCAAAGACAGCCACGAGCGAGCGCCCGAGCCCCUGUCGAGCUCUUCCUCUGCUCGUGCAACAGCAUCUCAUCUUCGUCACCAUGAGCCGCCAGGACCGGCCUCGUCCCUCUCCCUCCCUUCGUUCUCCUCCUCCCGUGGUCUCUCUCUCUAAGUACUCUCUCUCUCUCUCAGGUGCCCGUAGCCGCCGCCUAGGGAGUUCGCCGUUGACCCCGUCUUCGCCAGAUCCGGCUGGGAUCCACCGGAUCCGGGGCCCUGCGAAUUGUUCCCGGCCUCACCAGCGUCACCGGACCCGUAGUCGCCGGAGCUUCGUCGUGCCGCCGCUUCCUUCCUCCUGCUGCUGUGUUUUCUUCUUGAGGAAGACCAGCACCCCGACCUAAAGCCCGUGUCCCUGCCUCGCGUGGACCUCGCCCUGCCUCCGCUCGAUCUGCCUAUGAGGCCCAGCUCCCUCCUUCGCGCGAAGCCUAGUUACAGCAACGCCCUGCCUCCUUUCGCCUGGGCCGGCCUCGCCUCGGCCUGCUUCGGCUCCCAAUGGACCUCCACGUCGCCCGCGCCUGGGCCUCCUUGCGCAAGGCCCAGGGCGCUAGCACCCCUCCGCAGCCUGCUCCUUUGACCGGGCCGAAGCUCAUGGGGGAGGCCACCCACAGAGCCCCUCCUUUGUUGUAUUUCUACCGUUGGGCCAGACUACAGUUUUGGCCCGAGAUGUGUUUUUUUCCGCAGAACGUUUUAGCUAAUUUUCCCGAGAACGUAGAUACAGAAAAGCCCUUGCACUUCAUGCAUUUAAUAACUCACCAACCGUGCAUCGGAUUAAAACAAUUUAUAUAUGAAACUUGCUUAGAAAUUCAUCUAGUUUCAUAAUAUGUCACUCUCAUCCAUGUUUAACAUGUUUAAAAUGUUGUUUGUUUAAAUUUGCUUAAUAACUUGCUAAAAUGAUUUAUUUCAUAACUAAAUAACCGUAACUCAGUUUGUAACAAACUUUAUAUGUAAAUGGGGUAGAAAAAUGUCUAGUUUAACAUGGUGGCUUUACUUUGCAUGUUUAAAAACUCUAAAAUUGUGUUUAGGGCAGAACAGUACCAAACCUAAUAUAUGCAUAUGAGGAUUUACUAGAACUGUUGUUCGUUGCUUCCGGCCUCAUUUCAGCUUGCCUAGAUAGGUAGUUUUAUUAUGUUUCACCCUCUUGCCAUGUUUAAUAACAUUUAAUAUUGUUGGGUACAUAAACAAGUUCGAACCAAAUAAGUCACGUGGUGUUUCGUCAAUAUGCAACGGAGUUGCAUAUUGAGCUCCACUUAAUUUGUAGUAUUGUUUGUGCAUAUUGCCAUGCCAUGCUUCAUUAAACCGGACAUGCAUCAUACUUGAUUGUGCAUCAUGCCAUGUUCAUGUGUUGGUUGUUUACUAUGUUGUUUGCUCCUUUUUCGGUGUUGCUUCUUCGGGUUGGUUCCGAUAAAGUCGUGUUGUGAGGAUCCGUUCAUCUACGUCCAUUUGUCUUCUUCAUGGACUCGUUUUUCUUCCUUGCGGGAUCUCAGGCAAGAUGAUCAUACCCUCGAAAUCACUUCUAUCUUUCCUUGCUAGUUGCUCGCUCUUUUGCUAUGCCUAUGCUGCGAUACCUACCACUUGCUUAUCAUGCCUCCCAUAUUGUUGAACCAAGCCUCUAACCCACCUUGUCCUAGCAAACCGUUGUUUGGCUAUGUUACCGCUUUGCUCAGCCCCUCUUAUAGCGUUGUUAGUUGGAGGUGAAGAUUGAAGUUUGUUCCUUGUUGGAACAUGGAGAUCGUUCCUUGUUGGAACAUUGUUUUGCUCGUUGGGAUAUCACAAUAUCUCUUAUUUAAUUAAUGCAUCUAUAUACUUGGUAAAGGGUGGAAGGCUCGGCCUUAUGCCUGGUGUUUUGUUCCACUCUUGCCGCCCUAGUUUCCGUCAUAUCGGUGUUAUGUUCCGGAUUUUGCGUUCCUUACGCGGUUGGGUAAUAAUGGGAACCCCUUGACAGUUCGCCUUGAAUAAAACUCUUCCAGCAAUGCCCAACAUUGGUUUUACUAUUCGCCACCUAGACUUUUCUUUUCCCUUGGGGGUCGCACGCCCAAGGGUCAUCAUUAUUUUAACCCCCCGGGCUAGUGCUCCUCUGAGUGUUGGUCCGACCGAGCAGAUUGCGGGGCCACCUCGGGGCAACUUGAGGUUUGGUUUUACUCGUAGGAUGUCUCAUCUGAGUGUGCCCUGAGAACGAGAUAUGUGCAGCUCCUAUCGGGAUUUGUCGGCACAUUCGGGCGGUGUUGCUGGACUUGUUUUACCAUUGUCAAAAUGUCUUGUAACCGGGAUUCCGAAUCUGAUCGGGUCUUCCCGCUAGAAGGAAUAUCCUUCGUUGACCGUGAUUGCUUGUAAUGGGGUAAGUUGGGACACCCCUGCAGGGAUUUGAACUUUCGAAAGCCGUGCCCGCGGUUAUGGGCACAUGGGAAUUUGUUAACGUACGGUUGUAGAAAACUUGAAGUUGACCUUAAUUAAAAUGCAUCAACCGUGUGUGGAACCGUGAUGGUCUCUUCUCGGCGGAGUCCGGGAAGUGAACACGGUGUUGGAGUUAUGUUUGACGUAGGUUGUUCUAGGAUCACUUCUUGAUCAUAGUUUCUCGAUCGUGCUUUGCCUUCUCUUCUCGCUCUCAUUUGCGUAUGUUUAGCCACCAUAUAUGCUAGUUGCUUGCUGCAGCUCCACCUCAUACCUUUUAAUCUUCCUAUAAGCUUAAAUAGUCUUGAUCGCGAGGGUGUGAGAUUGCUGAGUCCCCGUGACUCACAGAUACUUCCAGAACCAGUUUGCAGGUGCCGAUGUUACAGAGCAGGUGACGCAACCAAGCUCAAGGAGGAGCUCGUUGAAGAUCUUGUCCUUUGUGUUGUUCCGUUCUAGUUGAUCAGUAGUGGAGCCCAGUUGGGGUCGAUCGGGGGACCUUGUCGCUUUUGGGGUUCUUCUUUUAUUUUGGCUCCGUAGUCGGGCCCUGAUUGUAUUUGGAUGAUGUAAUGCUUUAUUCAUGUAUUUGUGUGAAGUGGCGAUUGUAAGCCAACUAUGUAUCUCUUUCCCUUAUGUAUUACAUGGGUUGUGUGAAGAUUACCUCACUUGCGACAUUGCUUUCAAUGCGGUUAUGUCUCUAAGUCGUGCUUCGACACGUGGGAGAUAUAGCCGCAUCGAGGGCAUUACAAGUUGGUAAUCAGAGCCUUCCCCGACCUUAGGAGCCCCACUGCUUGAUCGAAUUAGCUGAUGAGUUGAGUGUAGAAAAAUGUUUUGAGUCAUUUAGGAAUUAUAUAUCGGAGAGUUUAGGAAUUAUUUUUACUCCCCAGUCCCCUCAUCGCUCUGGUAAGGCAUCCUGACGUAGAGUUUUGACUCUUCUCUUCUCAAAUUUCACUAAAAAAAAUUUAGGAUCACGCGGGUAUCUUGGAAUCGUUCUGAUGGUUUUGUGACGAGAACAUUGUUCUUGGUGCCUCCUGUCAUUUAGGGGUUGUGGCAGUGUCCCAGGGAGUUGAGCUCCGAGGUGUUGUCGUCACAAUUUUAUCGUUGCAGUUCUGGAAUACCUGAGUUUAGUACGCCGACAUCGAAAAUCUCUUUUAUGCAGUUGUUGGUGAAAUAACCUCGACGUCACCCAGUACUGGGGCGGGAGUUCGGGAGUAUUGCCAUAACUCGUAUAACGGAUGCUUUUCGAAGAUUGAGGUAGACGAUUUCCGAAGGUUUCUUGGUUAUGUGUUGAAGGAUGGAUACAACUGUGUAGGAUUUGCUAGUUUGGGUGAGAUAUUAUGCUUCCCCUGUAUCCCCAACACCUGAUUGCAUAACCGGAAAGGUUCGGGAGUUUCAUAGGUGGGAAUUCAAGUAGCUCUUAGAAUAUCUUUUCGACAGAUGUAUGAUAUGAAAUUGGGGUUCGACGUCUAGUGGUCCGCCUAUUCACGGUUGGUUUUACAGUGGUCUCGUUGUGUCUUAAAGAGUCCUUGGCUAUGCCGACUCGGGGACGCUUCGUAUGUCAUGUGCACUGCCUUGUACAUGAUGGUGCUGUACGAUCAAGCCCGUGUAGGCCCCACCAUGAAAACUUCGGACGAAAUCUCUAUCAUAUGUUUGUUCCGGCUUACUCUACAAGCCAAUCCUUUGUUUUGUUUUGAGUUAUGGUAUUCGAGUUGCUUCAAAGUCAAAUGUUGAUUCCAUACUUUUCCUAAGCGGUGUUCUCAUACUCCAAUGUGAACACUAAUCCUUCAUGAUAAUCAGGAUUGACAUGUCAAUCCUUUUUCAACCGGCGUGUCUCUCUUCAAGUGGAUCCGAUCAUUUCAACAUCAGCAAGAUCAAUUACCAUUUCUUCUCAACGGUGUUUGUUUUCAUCCGUCUCCAAGUUGCCUUUGUUUUUCCCUCCCUCCCACCCUUGUUUCUUCGAGGACUCAGAUUUCUUAAUCAAGUACCCAUUUUAUUCAUGUGAAUUUUCUCCAUUCCUUUUCGUUAAUGUUCUUACCCGGUGGUUCUCAUGUAGAUGCUCUACUAGUUCAAUAUUCUCCAUUAUUUUCUUCUCCGGUGGAUUCAAUUCAAGCUUUUGGUGUCGAUCACAUCCUUUUCCUCGUUUCAAAUAUGUUCUUAUGCCGGUGCACCUCUUAAUCUUCCCCGCUUGCUAUUCUAUUGUUCCGGAGUGCUCAAGAUAUCUCAAUAGGCUUGUCUUGUCAUUCAAGAUCCGUCCAACCUAUUUCGAGGUUGUUAUUUCAAUUCAAGCCAUUUAAUUCAACUGGUGCAAUCUUUCUUUUAAAUCGUUCAACGGUGUAUCUUUUGAGUGGGCCCUAACCCAUAGGUUUUUUUUCAGGAUCUUACCUGACUCUUCUUAUUCUUCCGGAGUUAUUCUCAAAUUCAUUUCAAAGUUUAACAUAAGAAUGAGUUAUCAUCAGUUAAAUGCUUUUCUCCAAGAUCAUUCUUUUCUUUCAUCGUUGGUUCAACCGUUCUAAUUUUUCAUCCCGGGGUAUCUCAACAAUUUAGUGGUGUUUCUCAUCGUCAUUCUCAGAUUUUGGAAGACCGAAGAAGAUUCUUCUUUCAAUCUUGCUCUUUUCUCUUCAAGAUUCGUGAUUCUAGCUUUAUGCCAUUCUCUCAUAAUUAUUUUCGGUUGUGAGAAUUCUUUUCACCCUUCCGGAGCAAUUCAGGAGCCUUUUCAGUUUGAUUAUCUGGAGCCCAUCAUCUCAAAGUUAUUCGUUCUCAGCCUUUCAGCUAUCAUUCUCCAAAUCUUACCGAUGCAUCAUUCAAUAUUCUCUAAUCAGUUCGUGAUCCCUUCGUUCACUUGUAUAUAAAUUCUCUAAAGUAUCCUCGUUCAUUUCAUAAUUCUUCCUGGUGUUCCUCUGUCUUUCCUUUGGUCAUUUUAAUUCUAACGAUGGUUCGUUCAAGAGUUCCCGUCAGUCGUUAUCAUAUUAAUUGUUUCGUUGUUUCAUUCCACCGGUGUUUCGUUGAAGGCAUUCUCUAGUUUGCGCAAUAUCUACCUUAAUCCUUUCUAAGAGAGUAAGUAGUAUGCCAAAUCCAUUGCUUGUCAUCAAUUUAAUUGGUGAAGGAUAUGCAUAACAUAAUUCUUAUUCUUGUUCAUCCAAGUGAUUAAUUCCUUUUUCCGGAGUGGUUCAUCAUAUCAUAUUCUCAGUUCGAGAUGCUUUAUCUUUUCUGUCCAGGAGUUCCAAGCUCUAAUUAUCACGGAGAUCCAUCUAAAUCAUGGCAAGGAUUCACCUUGUGUUUUCAAUUUCUCUUUCUUUUUAUUCUUUUGUUACCGGAAUUCUUCAUGAACAUUCUACAUGAUGGUUGAUCAAGGAUUUAAUUCUUUCUUGAAGUGCUCAUCAACAUUCUUUUCUAAGGAGCUCAAGUAUUCUUCUUGUUGCUAUCCGGAGUGCAAUUCUUUCUUCCGAAUCAUCGGAGGUGGUAUUAUGUCAUUAUUGAUAAUUUGAGUCAUGUUUCAUGAUUCACAUGUUAUUAAGAAUGAGGUAUUUUAAAUCCAUCAAUCUCGUCAUUGGAGUUACCUUGGGUUAUAUUUCACCUAAAGCUUUCCCUAAGGAUUGUUGCUAUCUAUGGUGCUAAUAAAUGAUCCAAUUUCUUCAUUUGUCCUUUCCGGUGCGGCAUACUUUCUCGUCAAUUUGUUCAUAUCAAUCCAAUUCUUUUCCCGUGAGUGGCAGUUUGUCACCUCAUAAUUUGACAUGUAUUCCAUAAGACCAUAUCAAGCUUAUCUUUUCGUUGUUGUGUUUCCAACAACUCCGUUCGACCUUUCUCCUAAGGAUACCUUUUCAAACUCUUUUGUGGCAGAAGUUGGCAUUUUCUUCUCCAUUCUUUUAUUUCAAUUAUCUAUAUUCUAUUCUUUCGUUCCGGAGGCAUUGUGUUGUUGCUCUUUUCAACCAAUCAUCUCAUUUUGUCAAAGAUCAUGCUCUUUUCAUGCCUAUCCAUUUAACCGGAGUGUUGUGCCGUUUUUGCUCAAGUAUCUUCUCAUCUUAUCAAGUUCUUAUUCAAUCCCUUCCCUCUUCAAUCGAAGUUCUGCCCGAAGUUGUUCUUCCUUGUUCCUCUUUCUUAACGGAGUGCUUUCAACUUCAUUCAUCUCCGUUGUAUUCUUUUCUCUAAAUGGCUUAACCUUUUCAAGGUUCUUUGGUUUCACUCGUCUGUCAAAGGAGCAACUUAGUUUUACCUCUUCUCUUUCUCUUUCGUUGUCCCUCCGGUGCCAUUCUAGAUCUCGGGACGAGAUCCUCUCGUAGUGGUGGAGUGUUGUAGCGCCCCGAGACCGAUGUGCCAGGUGUCUUCCAGUUAUUCAUUGUCGUUGCCAUGUCAUUUGCUUGCGUGUUGCAUUGUGUCAUGUCAUCAUGUGCAUUGCAUCAUCAUGUUUCAAAACCUGCAUCCGUUCGGGUCUUCCGGUUCUCUCCGUUGUCCGUUCUGAGCCCAGACACACUUGCACGCGCCCGCGGCAUGUCCGAAAUAUUAUUUUAUAAGUGGCCGGAAAAUGUUCUCGGAAUGGGAUGAAACUUGGCAUGCGGUGUUUUUAUGUUGUAGGUAGGCCGCCUGCCAAGUUUCAUCGCGUUCGGAGUCCGUUUGACGCCCCAACGGAUAACUAUAGCGGCAGUAUAGCCGGUCUAACGUCGGACGUUUUCGGUCUCUGAAAACUGUUGCCGGGCUUUCCCUCUCUUUCCUCUCUAGACCGUCUACACAGCCCACUACCUACCGUUAGGUCCAACCUAACCUCUCUUGUCAGCCCGCGGCCCUCCUCGCGCGCGUCCGAAAGCUGCCCCGGACCCGAACCGGACUUUCGUCGCUGUUGUGUCCAGAUCAUCCCCAAACAUCUACAAAACGUCUCCGUUUUGUUAAUUGGACUUCCUAGUCUAUUUUUUUCCCGACCCUCCGAUUAUGAUCGUAGGGACGGAUUAGUCCCUAAAUGUCUCCCUCUUUCCUUAUAUAUAUAUAUAUAUAUAUAUAUAUAUAUAUAUAUAUAUAUAUAUAUAUACUCUCUAGUCUAAAUCUAGACCAAACCCUAACUUCUAGGCGCUUGUCCCUACUGCCGCCGCCACACUUAUUCCCCAAAUCCCCAUCGGGAUCUCACCCACAGCCAACCACAAACCUCCCCUGGUCUCCUCCUCGUUGUCCCAUCGAACCAAUCCCAUCGCACUAGCUCCUCCCGAUCCAUCGAGCGCCUCCUCCUCCCUGUUCAAUCCAAAGGAGUGGAGCUCCUCCGCGCCCACGCCUCCUCGCACCUUCCUUCCCUACUCCCAAAGACAGCCACGAGCGAGCGCCCGAGCCCCUGUCGAGCUCUUCUUCUGCUCGCGCAACAGCAUCUCGUCUUUGUCACCAUGAGCCGCCAGGACCGGCCUCGUCCCUCUCCCUCCCUUCGUUCUCCUCCUCCCAUCGUCUCUCUCUCUAAGUACUCUCUAUCUCUCUCUCUCUCAGGUGUCUAUAGCCGCCGCCCAGGGAGUUCGCCUUUGACCCCGUCUUCGCCAGAUCCGGCCGGGAUCCACCGGAUCCGGGGCCCUGCGAAUCAUUCCCGGCCUCACCAGCAUCACCGGACCCGUAGUCGCCGGAGCUUCAUCACGCCGCCGCUUCCUUCCUCCUGAAGGAAAUAUGCCCUAGAGGCAAUAAUAAAGUUAUUAUUUAUUUCCUUAUAUCAUGAUAAAUGUUUAUUAUUCAUGCUAAAAUUGUAUUAACCGGAAACAUAAUACAUGUGUGAAGACAUAGACAAACAAAGUGUCACUAGUAUGCCUCUACUUGACUAGCUCGUUAAUCAAAGAUGGUUAUGUUUCCUAACCAUGAACAAUGAGUUGUUAUUUGAUUAACGGGAUCACACCAUUAAGUGAAUGAUCUGAUUGACAUGACCCAUUCCAUUAGCUUAGCACCCGAUCGUUUAGUAUGUUGCUAUUGCUUUCUUCAUGACUUAUACAUGUUCCUAUAACUAUGAGAUUAUGCAACUCCCGUUUACCGAAGGAACACUUUGGGUGCUACCAAAUGUCACAACGUAACUGGGUGAUUAUAAAGGAGUACUACAGGUGUCUCCAAAGGUACAUGUUGGGUUGGCGUAUUUCGAGAUUAGGUUUUGUCACUCUGAUUGUCGGAGAGGUAUCUCUGGGCCCUCUCGGUAAUGCACAUCACUUAAGCCUUGCAAGCAUUGCAACUAAUGAGUUAGUUGCGGGAUGUUGUAUUACAGAACGAGUAAAGAGACUUGCCGGCAACGAGAUUGAACUAGGUAUUGGAAUACCGACGAUCGAAUCUCGGGCAAGUAACAUACCGAUGACAAAGGGAACGACGUAUGUUGUUAUGCGGUCUGACCGAUAAAGAUAUUCGUAGAAUAUGUAGGAGCCAAUAUGUGCAUCCAGGUCCCGCUAUUGGUUAUUGACCGGAGACGUGUCUCGGUCAUGUCUACAUUGUUCUCGAACCCGUAGGGUCCGCACGCUUAAGGUUACGAUGACAGUUAUAUUAUGAGUUUAUGCAUUUUGAUGUACCGAAGGUUGUUGAGAGUCCCCGGAUGUGAUCACGAACAUGACGAGGAGUCUCAAAAUGGUCGAGACAUAAAGAUUGAUAUAUUGGAAGUCUAUGUUUGGAUACCGGAAGUGUUUCGGGUGAAAUCGGGAUUUUACCGGAGUACCGGGAGGUUACCGGAACCCCCCGGGAGCUAUAUGGGCCAUGAUGGGCCUUAGUGGAAAAGAGAAGAGGCAGCCCCUCAUGGGCCGCGCGCCCCUCCCCUCCCUUGGCCCGAAUAGGACAAGGAGAGGGGGCCGGCCCCUCUCUCUCUUUUUCCCCCUCCGCGAAUCCUAUUCCAACUAGGAUUGGGGGGGGGGAUCCUACUCCCAGAGGGAGUAGGACUCUCCUGGCGCGCCCUCCUUGGCCGGCCAGCCUCCCCCCUUUAGUCCUUUAUAUACGGAGGCAGGGGCACCCCAGAGACACACAAGUUGAUCCACGUGAUCUUUUCCUUAGCCGUGUGCGGCGCCCCAGCCACCAUAGUCCUCGAUAAUAUUGUAGCGGAGUUUAGGCGAAGCCCUGCUGCAGUAGUACAUCAAGAUCGUCACCACGCCGUCGUGCUGACAGAACUCUUCCCCGACACUUUGCUGGAUCGGAGUCCGGGGAUCGUCAUCGAGCUGAACGUGUGCUAAAACUCGGAGGUGCCGUAGUUUCGGUGCUUGAUCGGUCGGGCCGUGAAGACGUACGACUACAUCAACCAAACGCUUCCGUUGUCGAUCUACUAGGUAUGUAGAUCACACUCCCCCCUCUCGUUGCUAUGCAUCACAUGAUCUUGCGUGUGCGUAGGAAUUUUUUUGAAAUUACUACGUUCCCCAACAGUGGCAUCCGAGCCUAGGUUUUAUAUGUUGAUGUUAUAUGCACGAGUAGAACACAAGUGAGUUGUGGGCGAUAUAAGUCAUACUGCUUACCAGCAUGUCAUACUUUGGUUCGGCGGUAUUGUUGUAUGAAGCGGCCCAGACCGACAUUACGCGUACGCUUACGCGAGACCGGUUCUCCCGACAUGCUUUGCACAUAGGUGGCUUGUGGGUGAUAGUUUCUCCAACUUUAGUUGAACUGAGUGUGGCUACGCCCGGUCCUUGCGAAGGUUAAAACAGCACCAACUUGACAAACUAUCGUUGUGGUUUUGAUGCGUAGGUAAGAUUGGUUCUUGCUUAAGCCCGUAGCAGCCACGUAAAACUUGCAUCAACAAAGUAGAGGACGUCUAACUUGUUUUUGCAGGGCAUGUUGUGAUGUGAUAUGGUCAAGACAUGAUGUUGAUUUUUAUUGUAUGAGAUGAUCAUGUUUUGUAACCAAGUUAUCGGCAACUGGCAGGAGCCAUAUGGUUGUCGCUUUAUUGUAUGCAAUGCAAUCGCGAUGUAAUGCUUUACUUUAUCACUAAACGGUAGCGAUAGUCGUGGAAGCACAAGCUUGGUGAGACGACAACGACGCUACGAUGGAGAUCAAGGUGUCACGCCGGUGACGAUGGUGAUCAUGACGAUGCUUCGGAGAUGGAGAUCACAAGCACAAGAUGAUGAUGGCCAUAUCAUAUCACUUAUAUUGAUUGCAUGUGAUGUUUAUCUUUUAUGCAUCUUAUCUUGCUUUGUUUGACGGUAGCAUUAUAAGAUGAUCUCUCACUAAUUAUCAAGAAGUGUUCUCCCUGAGUAUGCACCAUUGCGAAAGUUCUUCGUGCUGAGACACCACGUGAUGAUCGGGUGUGAUAGGUUCUACGUUCAAAUACAACGGGUGCAAAACAGUUGCACACGCGGAAUACUCAGGUUAUACUUGACGAUCCAAGCAUAUACAGAUAUGGCCUCGGAACACGGAGACCGAAAGGUCGAGCGUGAAUCAUAUAGUAGAUAUGAUCAACAUAAUGAUGUUCACCAAUGAAACUACUCCAUCUCACGUGAUGAUCGGACAUGGUUUAGUUGAUUUGGAUCACGUAAUCACUUAGAGGAUUAGAGGGAUGUCUAUCUAAGUGGGAGUUCUUUAAGUAAAUUAACUGAACUUAAAUUUAUCAUGAAACUUAGUACCUGAUAAGUAUCUUGCUUGUUUAUGCUUGUUUGUAGAUAGAUGGCUCGUGAUGUUGUUCCGUUGAAUUUUAAUGCGUUCCUUGAGAAAGCAAAGUUGAAAGAUGAUGGUAGCAAUUACACGGACUGGGUCCGUAACUUGAGGAUUAUCCUCAUUGCUGCACAGAAGAAUUACGUCCUGGAAGCACCGUUGGGUGCCAGGCCUGCUGUAGGAGCAACGCCGGAUGUUAUGAACGUCUGGCAGAGCAAAGCUGAUGACUACUCGAUAGUUCAGUGUGCCAUGCUUUACGGCUUAGAAUCGGGACUUCAACGACGUUUUGAACGUCAUGGAGCAUAUGAGAUGUUCCAGGAGUUGAAGUUAAUAUUUCAAGCAAAUGCCCGGAUUGAGAGAUAUGAAGUCUCCAAUAAGUUCUAUAGCUGCAAGAUGGAGGAGAACAGUUCUGUUAGUGAGCAUAUACUCAAAAUGUCUGGGUAUAAUAAUCACUUGAUUCAAUUGGGAGUUAAUCUUCCAGAUGAUUACGUCAUUGACAGAAUUCUCCAAUCAUUGCCACCAAGCUACAAGAGCUUCGUGAUGAACUAUAAUAUGCAAGGGAUGAAUACGACUAUUCCCGAGCUCUUCGCGAUGCUGAAAGCUGCGGAGGUAGAAAUCAAGAAGGAGCAUCAAGUGUUGAUGGUCAACAAGACCACUAGUUUCAAGAAAAAGGGCAAAGGAAAGAAGAAGGGGAACUUCAAAAAGAACGGCAAGCAAGUUGCUACUCAAGAGAAGAAACCCAAACCUGGACCUAAGCCUGAAACUGAGUGCUUCUAUUACAAGCAGACUGGUCACUGGAAGCGGAACUGCCCCAAGUAUUUGGCGGAUAAGAAGGAUGGCAAGGUGAACAAAGGUAUAUGUGAUAUACAUGUUAUUGAUGUGUACCUUACUAAUGCUCGCAGUAGCACCUGGGUAUUUGAUACUGGUUCUGUUGCUAAUAUUUGCAACUCGAAACAGGGACUAUGGAUUAAGCAAAGAUUGGCUAAGGACGAGGUGAUGAUGCGCGUGGGAAACGGUUCCAAAGUCGAUGUGAUCGCAGUCGGCACGCUACCUCUACAUCUACCUUCGGGAUUAAUAUUAGACCUAAAUAAUUGUUAUUUGGUGCCAGCGUUAAGCAUGAACAAUAUUUCUGGAUCUUGUUUGAUGUGAGACGGUUAUUCAUUUAAAUCAGAGAAUAAUGGUUGUUCUAUUUAUAUGAGUAAUAUCUUUUAUGGUCAUGCACCCUUGAAGAGUGGUCUAUUCUUGUUGAAUCUCGAUAGUAGUAACACACAUAUUCAUAAUGUUGAAGCCAAAAGAUGCAGAGUUGAUAAUGAUAGUGCAACUUAUUUGUGGCACUGCCGUUUAGGUCAUAUCGGUGUAAAGCGCAUGAAGAAACUCCAUACUAAUGGACUUUUGGAACCACUUGAUUAUGAAUCACUUGGUACUUGCGAACCGUGCCUCAUGGGCAAGAUGACUAAAACGCCGUUCUCCGGUACUAUGGAGAGAGCAACAGAUUUGUUGGAAAUCAUACAUACAGAUGUAUGUGGUCCGAUGAAUAUUGAGGCUCGUGGCGGAUAUCGUUAUUUUCUCACCUUCACAGAUGAUUUAAGCAGAUAUGGGUAUACCUACUUAAUGAAACAUAAGUCCGAAAUGUUUGAAAAGUUCAAGGAAUUUCAGAGUGAAGUUGAAAAUCAUCGUAACAAGAAAAUAAAGUUUCUACGAUCUAAUCGUGGAGGAGAAUAUUUGAGUUACGAGUUUAGUGUACAUUUGAAAAAUUGUGGAAUAGUUUCGCAACUCACGCCACCCGGAACACCACAACGUAAUGGUGUGUCCAAACGUCGUAAUCGUACUUUACUAGAUAUGGUGCGAUCUAUGAUGUCUCUUACUGAUUUACCGCUAUCGUUUUGGGGGUACGCUCUAGAGACGGCCGCAUUCACGUUAAAUAGGGCACCAUCAAAAUCCGUUGAGACGACGCCUUAUGAACUGUGGUUUGGCAAGAAACCAAAGUUGUCGUUUCUGAAAGUUUGGGGCUGCGAUGCUUAUGUGAAAAAUCUUCAACCUGAUAAGCUCGAACCCAAAUCGGAGAAAUGUGUCUUCAUAGGAUAUCCAAAGGAGACUAUUGGAUACACCUUCUAUCACAGAUCCGAAGGCAAGACUUUUGUUGCUAAAUUCGGAAACUUUCUAGAGAAGGAGUUUCUCUCGAAAGAAGUGAGUGGGAGGAAAGUAGAACUUGACGAGGUAACUGUACCUACUCCCUUAUUGGAAAGUAGUACAUCAUAGAAAACUGUUUCUGUGACACCUACACCAGUUAGUGAGGAAGCUAAUGAUGAUGAUCAUGAAACUUCAGAACAAGAUACUACUGAACCUGGUAGAUCAACCAGAGUAAGAUCCGCACCAGAGUGGUACGGUAAUCCCGUUCUGGAAGUCAUGCUACUAGAUCAUGAUGAACCUAUGAACUAUGAAGAAGCGAUGGUGAGCCCAGAUUCCGCAAAGUGGCUUGAAGCCAUGAAAUCUGAGAUGGGAUCCAUGUAUGAGAAAAAAGUAUGGAAUUUGGUUGACUUGCCCGAUGAUCGGCGAGCAAUUGAAAAUAAAUGGAUCUUCAAGAAGAAGACUGACGCUGACGGUAAUAUUACUGUCUACAAAGCUCGACUUGUCGCAAAAGGUUUUUGGCAAGUUCAAGGGAUUGACUACGAUGAAACCUUCUCACCCGUAGUGAUGCUUAAGUCUGUCCGAAUCAUGUUAGCAAUUGCCGCAUUUUAUGAUUAUGAAAUUUGGCAGAUGGAUGUCAAAACUGCAUUCCUGAAUGGAUUUCUGGAAGAAGAGUUGUAUAUGAUGCAACCAGAAGGUUUUGUCAAUCCAAAGGGAGCUAACAAAGUGUGCAAGCUCCAGCGAUCCAUUUAUGGACUGGUGCAAGCCUCUCGGAGUUGGAAUAAACGUUUUGAUAGUGUGAUUAAAGCAUUUGGUUUUAUACAGACUUUUGGAGAAGCCUGUAUUUACAAGAAAGUGAGUGGGAGCUUUGUAGCAUUUCUGAUAUUAUAUGUGGAUGACAUAUUACUAAUUGGAAAUGAUGUAGAAUUUCUGGAUAGCAUAAAGGGAUACUUGAAUAAGAGUUUUCCAAUGAAAGACCUCGGUGAAGCUGCUUACAUAUUAGGCAUUAAGAUCUAUAGAGAUAGAUCAAGACGCUUAAUUGGACUUUCACAAACCACAUACCUUGACAAAGUUUUGAAGAAGUUCAAAAUGGAUCAAGCAAAGAAAGGGUUCUUGCCUGUGUUACAAGGUGUGAAGUUGAGUAAGACUCAAUGCCCGACCACUGCAGAAGAUAGAGAGAAUAUGAAAGAUGUUCCCUAUGCAUCAGCCAUAGGAUCUAUCAUGUAUGCAAUGCUGUGUACCAGACCUGAUGUGUGCCUUGCUAUAAGUCUAGCAGGGAGGUACCAAAGUAAUCCAGGAGUGGAUCACUGGACAGCGGUCAAGAACAUCCUGAAAUACCUGAAAAGGACUAAGGAUAUGCUUCGCGUAUAUGGAGGUGACAAAGAGAUCAUCGUAAAAGGUUACGUUGAUGCAAGCUUUGACACUGAUCCGGAUGAUUCUAAAUCGCAAACCGGAUACGUGUUUACAUUAAACGGUGGGGCUGUAAGUUGGUGCAGUUCUAAACAAAGCGUUGUAGCGGGAGCUACAUGUGAAGCGGAGUACAUAGCUGCUUCGGAAGCAGCAAAUGAAGGAGUCCGGAUGAAGGAGUUCAUAUCCGAUCUAGGUGUCAUACCUAGUGCAUCGGGUCCAAUGAAAAUCUUUUGUGACAAUACUGGCGCAAUUGCCUUGGCAAAGGAAUCCAUAUUUCACAAGAGAACCAAGCACAUCAAGAGAUGCUUCAAUUCCAUCUGGGAUCUAGUCCAGGUGGGAGACAUAGAGAUUUGCAAGAUACAUACGGAUCUGAAUGUUGCAGACCCGUUGACUAAGCCUCUUCCACGAGCAAAACAUGAUCAACACCAAGGCUCCAUGGGUGUGAGAAUCAUUACUGUGUAAUCUAGAUUAUUGACUCUAGUGCAAGUGGGAGACUGAAGGAAAUAUGCCCUAGAGGCAAUAAUAAAGUUAUUAUUUAUUUCCUUAUAUCAUGAUAAAUGUUUACUAUUCAUGCUAAAAUUGUAUUAACCGGAAACAUAAUACAUGUGUGAAUACAUAGACAAACAAAGUGUCACUAGUAUGCCUCUACUUGACUAGCUCGUUAAUCAAAGAUGGUUAUGUUUCCUAACCAUGAACAAUGAUUCGUUAUUUGAUUAACGGGAUCACAUCAUUAAGUGAAUGAUCUAAUUGACAUGACCCAUUCCAUUAGCUUAGCACCCGAUCGUUUAGUAUGUUGCUAUUGCUUUCUUCAUGACUUAUACAUGUUCCUAUAACUAUGAGAUUAUGCAACUCCCGUUUACCGGAGGAACACUUUGGGUGCUACCAAACGUCACAACAUAACUGGGUGAUUAUAAAGGAGUACUACAGGUGUCUCCAAAGGUACAUGUUGGGUUGGCGUAUUUCGAGAUUAGGUUUUGUCACUCCGAUUGUCGGAGAGGUAUCUCUGGGCCCUCUCGGUAAUGCACAUCACUUAAGCCUUGCAAGCAUUGUAACUAAUGAGUUAGUUGCGGGAUGAUGUAUUAUAGAACGAGUAAAGAGACUUGCCGGCAACGAGAUUGAACUAGGUAUUGGAAUACCGACGAUCGAAUCUUGGGCAAGUAACAUACCGAUGACAAAGGGAACGACGUAUGUUGUUAUGCGGUCUGACCGAUAAAGAUAUUCGUAGAAUAUGUAGGAGCCAAUAUGGGCAUCCAGGUCCCGCUAUUGGUUAUUGACCAGAGACGUGUCUCGGUCAUGUCUACAUUGUUCUCGAACCCGUAGGGUCCGCACGCUUAAGGUUACGAUGACAGUUAUAUUAUGAGUUUAUGCAUUUUGAUGUACCGAAGGUUGUUCAGAGUCCCCGGAUGUGAUCACGGACAUGACGAGGAGUCUCGAAAUGGUCGAGACAUAAAGAUUGAUAUAUUGGAAGCCUAUGUUUGGAUAUCAGAAGUGUUCCGGGUGAAAUCGGGAUUUUACCGGAGUACCGGGAGGUUACCGGAACCCCCCGGGAGCUAUAUGGGCCAUGAUGGGCCUUAGUGGAAAAUAGAAGAGGCAGCCCCUCAUGGGCCGUGCGCCCCUCCCCUCCCUUGGUCCGAAUAGGACAAGGAGAGGGGGCCGGCCCCUCUCUCUCUUUUCCCCCCUCCGCGAAUCCUAUUCCAACUAGGAUUGGGGGGGGAUCCUACUCCCAGAGGGGGUAGGACUUUCCUGGGGCGCCCUCCUUGGCCGGCCAGACUCCCCCCUUUAGUCCUUUAUAUACGGAGGCAGGGGCACCCCAGAGACACACAAGUUGAUCCACGUGAUCUUUUCCUUAGCCGUGUGCGGUGCCCCAGCCACCAUAGUCCUCGAUAAUAUUGUAGCGGAGUUUAGGCGAAGCCCUGCUGCAGUAGUACAUCAAGAUCGUCACCACGCCGUCGUGUUGACGGAACUCUUCCCCGACACUUUGCUGGAUCGGAGUCUGGGGAUCGUCAUCGAGCUGAACGUGUGCUAAAACUCGGAGGUGCCAUAGUUUCGGUGCUUGAUCGGUCGGGCCAUGAAGACGUACGACUACAUCAACCAAACGCUUCCGUUGUCGAUCUACUAGGUAUGUAGAUCACACUCCCCCCUCUCGUUGCUAUGCAUCACAUGAUCUUGCGUGUGCGUAGGAAAUUUUUUGAAAUUACUACGUUCCCCAACACCUCCUACUGCUGCGUUUUCUUCUUGAGGGAGACCAGCGCCCCAACCUGAAGCCCGUGUCCCUGCCUCGCGUGGACCUCGCCCUGCCUCCGCUCGAUCUGCCUACGAGGCCCAGCUCCCUCCUUCGCGCGAAGCCCAGUUACAACAGCGCCCUGCCUCCUUUCGCCUGGGCCGGCCUCGCCUCGGCCUGCUUCGGCUCCCAAUGGACCUCCACGUCGCCCGCGCCUGGGCCUCCUUGCGCAAGGCCCAGCGCGCCAGCACCCCUCCACAGCCUACUCCUUUGACCGGGCCGAAGCCCAUGGGUGAGGCUACCCACAGAGCCCCUCCUUUGUCUUAUUUCUACCGUGGGCCAGACUGCAGUUUUGGCCUGAGAUGUGUUUUUUUUUCGCAGAACGUUUUAGCUAAUUUUCCCGAGAACGCAGAUUUACAGAAAAGCCCUUGCACUUCAUGCAUUUAAUAACUCACCAAUCGUGCAUCGGAUUAAAACAAUUUAUAUAUGAAACUUGCUUAGAAAUUCAUCUAGUUACAUAAUAUGUCACUCUCAUCCAUGUUUAACAUGUUUAAAAUGUUGUUUGUUUAAAUUUGCUUAAUAACUUGCUAAAAUGAUUUAUUUCAUAACUAAAUAACCGUAACUUGGUUUGUAACAAACUUUAUAUGUAAAUGGGGUAGAAAAAUGUCUAGUUUAACAUGGUGGCUUUACUUUGCAUGUUUAAAAACUCUAAAAUUGUGUUUAGGGCAGAACAGUACCAAACCUAAUAUAUGCAUAUGAGGAUUUACCGGAACUGUUGUUCGUUGCUUUCGGCCUCAUUUAAGCUUGCCUAGAUAGGUAGUUUUAUUAUGUUUCACCCUCUUGCCAUGUUUAACAACAUUUAAUAUUGUUGGGUACAUAAACAAGUUCGAACCAAAUAAGUCACGUGGUGUUUCGUCAAUAUGCAACGGAGUUGCAUAUUGAGCUCCACUUAAUUUGUAGUAUUGUUUGUGCAUAUUGCCAUGCCAUGCUUCAUUAAACCGGACAUGCAUCAUACUUGAUUGUGCAUCAUGCCAUGUUCAUGUGUUGGUUGUUUACUAUGUUGUUUGCUCCUUUUCCGAUGUUGCUUCUUCGGGUUGGUUCCGAUAACGUCGUGUUGUGAGGAUCCGUUCAUCUACGUCCGUUUGUCUUCUUCAUGGACUCGUUCUUCUUCCUUGCGGGAUCUCAGGCAAGAUGAUCAUACCCUCGAAAUCACUUCUAUCUUUGCUUGCUAGUUGCUUGCUCUUUUGUUAUGCCUAUGCUGCGAUACCUACCACUUGCUUAUCAUGCCUCCCAUAUUGUUGAACCAAGCCUCUAACCCACCUUGUCCUAGCAAACCGUAGUUUGGCUAUGUUACCACUUUGCUCAGCCCCUCUUAUAGUGUUGUUAGUUGCAGGUGAAGAUUGAAGUUUGUUCCUUGUUGGAACAUGGAGAUCGUUCCUUGUUGGAACAUUGUUUUGCUUGUUGGGAUAUCACAAUAUCUCUUAUUUAAUUAAUGCAUCUAUAUACUUGGUAAAGGUUGGAAGGCUCGGCCUUAUGCCUGGUGUUUUGUUCCACUCUUGCCGCCCUAGUUUCCGUCAUAUCGGUGUUAUGUUCCCGGAUUUUGCGUUCCUUACGCGGUUGGGUAAUAAAGGGAACCCCUUGACAGUUCGCCUUGAAUAAAACUCUUCCAGCAAUGCCCAACAUUGGUUUUACCAUUCGCCACCUAGCCUUUUCUUUCCCUUGGGGGUCGCACACCCAAGGGUCAUCAUUAUUUUAACCCCCUUGGGCCAGUGCUCCUCUAAGUGUUGGUCCGACCGAGCAGACUGCGGGGCCACCUCGGGGCAACUUGAGGUUUGGUUUUACUCGUAGGAUGUCUCAUCUGAGUGUGCCCUGAUUUGUCGGCACAUUCGGGCGGUGUUGCUGGACUUGUUUUACCAUUGUCGAAAUGUCUUGUAACCGGGAUUCCGAGUCUGAUCGGGUCUUCCCGCUAGAAGGAAUAUCCUUCGUUGACCGUGAUUGCUUGUAAUGGGCUAAGUUGGGACACCCCUGCAGGGAUUUGAACUUUCAAAAGCCGUGCCCGCGGUUAUGGGCAGAUGGUAAUUUGUUAAUGUACGGUUGUAGAAAACCUGAAGUUGACCUUAAUUAAAAUGCAUCAACCGUGUGUGUAACCGUGAUGGUCUCUUCUCGGCGGAGUCCGGGAAGUGAACACGGUGUUGGAGUUAUAUUUGACGUAUGUUGUUCUAGGAUCACUUCUUGAUCAUAGUUUCUCGAUCGUGCUUUGCCUUCUCUUCUCGCUCUCAUUUGCGUAUGUUUAGCCACCAUAUAUGCUAGUUGCUUGCUGCAGCUCCACCUCAUACCUUUUAACCUUCCUAUAAGCUUAAAUAGUCUUGAUCGCGAGGGUGUGAGAUUGCUGAGUCCCCGUGACUCACAGAUACUUCCAAAACCAGUUUGCAGGUGCCGAUGUUACAGAGCAGGUGACGCAACCAAGCUCAAGGAGGAGCUCGUUGAAGAUCUUGUCCUUUGUGUUGUUCUGUUUUAGUUGAUCAGUAGUGGAGCCCAGUUGGGUUCGAUCGGGGGACCUUGUCGCUUUUGGGGUUCUUCUUUUAUUUUGGCUCCGUAGUCGGGCCCUGAUUGUAUUUGGAUGAUGUAAUGCUUUAUUCAUGUAUUUGUGUGAAGUGGCGAUUGUAAGCCAACUAUGUAUCUCUUUCCCUUAUGUAUUACAUGGGUUGUGUGAAGAUUACCUCACUUGCGACAUUGCUUUCAAUGCGGUUAUGCCUCUAAGUCGUGCUUCGAUUCGUGGGAGAUAUAAACGCAUCGAGGGCGUUACACGGCCCCAGCGCGGCGAGACCAGGCGGCAAGGCGCAGGGUGGCACCGCCGAUCCAUAGUAGUCCCGGGUUGCGCAGGGCCUUGCUCUUGAAACGGGGGUCGGAGAACCUGAUGAGGAAGUCGCCAGGGGAGAAGAGCGAAACGUGCAUCUGUGUUCGCGGGAGGCCGAACUGGAGGGAAGCAGCCAUGGAUAUGUCAUGGACGGUGAACUCUGGGCGGUUGCCCAGCACCGUCGCGAUGACAGCAUGCCGCUCGAGGUCGGACUCCGCCGCAGCCCGAGCCGGUGUCCAGGGGACAGAGGCCGUGACCAUGGUGGGGCGGCAACGAGCGUCAGCGGCCGGUGCCUCCAUCGGGGUGACGACAGUCGUUGUCUGACCGGAAGUAGGGGGUGACGGGGGUAAGGGUGGCGGGGGGGAUGAGGGGAUGGGUGGUGGAGAUGGUGAUGGGAGGGGUGGAAGGGGAGGGGCGGCGCUGCCAUUGGGGGUCUUGCAGCUGUGAGAGGUGUGGCCGGAGCGGGAGCACAAGAGGCAGGUGGGUGGGUUGGAGCAGGAAGCGACGCGGUGGUGCGGGGAGAGGCAGCGGAAACAACAGCGAGCAGCCUUGGUCUUAAAGAGGUGCUGAAUGCGUGUCAAUAGGAGCUGUGGAGGAGCACGCGGGUUCCUACCAUUAUGGCGCGGCAGGGCAUGGCGGUCUUCUCUCCACCAAUACGGCUUGCGAACCUGCUGCCACCCAUCCCCGCAUUGAAGCUCGGCAGCAGCAGGGCGGCCGCAGGGUGUGGGUGCGACAUUAACCGCAUCUAGCAGCGGCCCAACCACCACCGAGCGGAGGCGAGGCGUAGUCGAGGGCGGCGGUGCAGGGGAUGAGAGCAGCGCGUCGAUGAAGGAGGCGCAGCGAGCUGCUGACGGUGGCGGGAGGCCUGGCGGCGGCGGGGGUAGGAAGCAGGAGGAGGAAGGAGGGGUCGGCAAGAGGCCGGCCAUGGUUCCGCAAGCACUUCCCUCAGUCAACCAAAGAUGGGAUAAACGACAAGAUUUCACAAGGGUAGAUGGAGGCAUGGAGCUGAAAGCUCUUCAAAGCGAAAAUAGGCGCAAAAGAGCAAACAAAACAGAAGAUAACUGUUGAGUGUAUGUUGUCCAAUGCAUGUGUAUAGGACUUGGGUCUGUAUUUAUACCGUUGUAUCUCCACCCCCCUCCCCCCCAUUGUAUAUUUGUACAUCUUGAAAGACAAGUAGAGGCUGGUCCACCCUGUACCUAUAUAUGUGCAUCAUGCACAUGGUCAAUGAUUUAUCGAUGCAUGCAAUCUCCUCCUUCCAACUAACAAUAACAAAAGGAUCCGGAAACGGGGAGGAGGAAAAAUAAAAACCCACGGCAUAUCAUGCAAGCGGUAGUUUGACUUGUCCUCCUUUUCCAUAAUGGAGAAAAAUCCAUGGCGAUGUUAUUAGUCUAGUCUAUCAAACACUCCACCAUCGUCCAGUUGGCUGGCACUGGCAGGCAGAGGCAAGUGCAACGGCAAGCCGCUCAUGCUUUCGGAGUCUGCUGCCCUCCGUUUGAGAACGGACUAACUUCCUGGCGUGGAAGACCGAUCAUGCUGUUGGAGUGUGCAGUGCUCAUGCGCCAAGCAGCCUCACCCUAACGCGUUUCCCGUCACGUCAUCCAUCCUUGCACCGACGGAAUAAGCAAUGCCGGUUGAGGAAACGGGGGAGGUCGAUCCGGUGGUUGGGACCCGGUUAAGUUGCCCGAUGCAGGUGAACCACCACCGAGUUACAUCGUCACACACUCACACUCACACCAAUUUCAUGCAGCUGUUGGGUCGUCUGCUUCAGCGCGCUCAACCAACAGAAAUACUCCCUCCGUUCCUAAAUAUAAGUUUUUUAGAGAUUCCAAUAAAGAACUAUAUAUGGAGUAAAAUAAGUGACUCUGCACUGUAAAAUAUGUUUAUAUACAUCCGUAUGUACUCUCUCCGGUCCUUUUUACUCUGCAUAUUAGAAUUCUGUAAAGUCAAACUUCACAAAGUUUGACCGUAUUUAUAUGAAAAAAUAUCAACAUCUGCCAUACUAAAGUUAUAAAAUAUGAAAUUUUAAGGCAUGACACAUCCAUUGAUAUUGAUUUCAGAUUGUUAAUGUUGGUACUUUUUUUCUAUAAAGUUGGUCAAGUUUUACGAGGCUUGACUUCAGUCAAAUCUUAUAUGCGAACUAAAAAGGACCGGAGGGAGUAGUUCAUUGUGAAAUGUUUAAAAAACUUAUAUUUAGAAACGGAAGGAGUAUAAUAAUAAUUAUUCAUCGAAUGCAUGCAUGCGCUACUCGAUUCAAGGCACAUAGUACAUCCACGCUUAUUAUAGUUUGAUGAAAGGACUCGUAGGGGGACGUACGUGAUGUAUCGGGGAAAAAUAAUGGUGCACCUGCUGCGUUGACGAGCGGAUUUUUUUAGGGUGGUUCUGCAGAGCGAAGCACGCAGUGCACCUUCAUCCGCGACCAAGAGUACCAGUAGUAAAUGCUAGCAGCCUGCUGCCCUUUUCACGCUGUAAAUUUCAUUUCAGCCGUAACCGUAAAGCGGGCAUGAUAUCUCUUUGGUGCUGGUAGAAAGAAAGAAAGCUUGGUAAUGGUAAACUUACGGGCUGCGGAAAGGCGCGUCCCGUCCCAAAAGGCGACCACCGCCACACGCACACCUUUGGCAAAUUGCGUCCGAAAAGCAUUGGACUUUAUGGCAUGCACGCACGCACCCACGCACUUGCUAACACAGAAAGAAAGACCCAGAUCAAUCGGCUGGCGCUGCCACCUUCCUCCGGCCCGGCCGGCUAUAACUGCGCCAUGAGCGGCCGGUUCACGGGCGGUGCCGGCGCGAAUCAUGCACGCAGCUGACUGAUGAAUCGUGCAUAAACCCACCCCCUAGGCUAGGCUAGGGGCCCGGCUGGAGCACUGCUGGCUGCUGCCUUUGUAAACGGUGGAGCAGAGCCUGGUGCGGCGGAGGAGCAAAGCAGGCAGCGUGAUGGCGAGCCAUGUCGCUGUCCCUCCGGGACGGGACGGGGCAAAAGUCCACUCCGGUGUGUGUCAUCAUUGCACGAGCUCCAUGGCCCACGGGCCGCAUCACCCGCGCGCAGCAGUGCCGGGCAACAACAUUAUCAGACUUCAGAAAGCUGCAGGGGACGGCGACGGUCGCGCACUGCACCUGCACGUCCAGCGCCGCCAACCUGGCGGCCAUCAGCACCGUCUCCAUCUCGGGCCCUGCUCCAGCAGUGACCGUCGUGAGUCGUAACGCUCGCUGGACAAACGUUUCGCUUCUCCGCCUGCAGUCCUACGCCUGUGCAAAGCAUUACUACUCGACGUCAAGGUCAAGCAUGGCCUCCAGGGGAAAUACGGUGAGCCCUUGCACUGUCAACCAACAAGACGAUGCAAUUGCCAGUCCCCAUGCCGUGCGGGCCACCGACCACAUCACGGAGAAGGUUUUAGAAACUUAUUGGCAACGAUUCGUGUAUCACAUCACAAAAAGGAAACAAUUUCAAAUUCAGUAUGCACCAUGUCAAAACAAUUCAAAUGCAAAUUCGAUCCAUAAUGGCAAACCAAAGAAUAAUACACUAGUUGAACGCUUCUUUCUACUGGGCUGAUUCUCACACGGCACAACGGCUUGUUUUUCUGCGCAAAAAUGGCAGAUCUCAUGUAUCUCACCUAGAAGAAAGCUGUUUCUAUGCAAGUUGCCCCCGCGGUGGCAUGCCAAGCAAACACACAGGCGAAGACACUGAAGAAAAUAACAUAUAUUGAUCUUGCUUCAGAAAAAACAGCAAGAGCUACCAGGUUUCCAUUCUUCACGUCGUACAUUCCUCAAGUCUCUUCUCAACGCAACGCUCUACUCUCAGCACCUCCACCUCUAACUGCAUCAAUAGCUUAACUAGCUAGCACAAUCUAACAAGAGGUGCCAACAAAAGGAUGCCAGGUGUUAUCUGUACACCGUUCGAUUGUCCAGCAAUACUGUCAUCAACGUCAGGGCACCAGAAAGCUUACAACAAUGCGUAGCUCCGACUCAAAAAAAAGGAUCAACACCUGAACAAUGCACAUGAUGGCGGCGUCUCUACCGAGAUGAACUGCACUGACUCUCGCAACCGGGGCAGUUAUGCAAGCUCUCAUGGAUGUAAAUAUCACAGUCGAAGCAGAAGUGGUGCUUGCAUUUUGGACAGCAGACAUGGAUAUUAGACUGGCCACCUGCAAUGUUCACGGAGGUAUAGUCAAUGAACCUGAUGAUUACAGCGCAUAAGAAUAUAUAGGAUACUCAUACUAGCGUAACAUAGAACAAAAACAUAAAUGAGAUUGUCAAGAAAAGGGAAUCAUGUGAAUUCAGAAGGAUAAUAAUUUCCCCCACUCUCAAAACUGCAGAACUAAGUUAUGUUCCAUUGACAGUUCGCUUCUAAAUGCUGAAAGAAUUUAAGGCUGGUUUUCACAUAUGUUGCCCUCUAUGCUAUGCAACUUUGGUCGUGGGGUUAAGUUGAUGAUCCACACUUCACUCUCAAGUGACAAUAGCAUGGAUAAAGAAAGCACCCCAUGGUAUACACAAUAACAACCACUAAAUGUUAGGACAGAAAAUAAAUAAGGCAACAAAGACUGGAAACUGCUUCAUUAUGAUAAUUCCUCCUUUUUCUAACACAGAGACCAAGGACAUUAAAGAUAUAUUUCCUCAUUUGAAGAAAAUUAACCGAAGCAAGACAGCAUAUUUGGGCGGAGAUGUGUUUAAGCAUACCGGUGUUAAUGAGACUCUGCUGGCAGCCAAAACAAUUUUGUCCUCCCUUUUGACCUAAUUUGAACGUCACCUCAUCAAAUGGCGCUACAGGGAAGAGAUGGUGAUAGGAUCGUGCCAGAUGUGGAGAACUAACAAGUGUUAGACCACAUGUUCGGCACUCCGUCGGAAGCUCACAGACAUUAACUUUGCAUCUGGGACAUAUGUAACCUUCAGCACCAGAUUUAAUUUUCUUAUGACAAGAGCAGAUGGAGAUAAGAUCCUCUGCUCCCCUCUGUGGAAAACCCAUCUUAAUCAAAUUAGCUGCAGCAUACUCUGCAAUGGCAGGUGGUGGAGGAGCAUGUUCAAGCAGCAAUUCCUUGAAGUGGGACUGCCAAAAGAAAGAAACAUUAUUUCAUCAUCACAGGAUUUGAAUAUCAAGAGUAAAAGCUACAAACACAAACAUAUUUUAGCACCUCGUCUAGUGCAACCGUAUAUGAUCCACCAGUCUCUUCACAGAGAUGCUUGCAAAUGAAAAUUUCUGCAGCAAGCCCAAUAACCGAACAUCUAACUUUGGAUUUCUUGCAUUUUUCUAUUGUCUCCAUGAUAUCACCAGGAUCACAUGUAUUCAGUGCGGAGUACAAAAAUAAUACUUCCUUGUGACCAUAGGAAGGAAUCUGGUUCAAGUAACCAUUGACAAGUUCUAGAGCAUUCUGCAGAGAUGAAUCACCAGAACACUCAAGCUUGCCCAUCAAUGCGUUAAUCUGUGACUCUGGACUCCCUCCAAUCUCCGUAAGUCGAUGAGAAAUGCCAUCUUUAAUUGUCACUAACCCAACAUGGCUCAAGGGAUUCUGAUCGAAGAAUUCCCUUAUGAAUGCCUCAGCACACUUAGCAACAACAGCCAUUCGACUAGGGCGAUAAUCCAUUUCUGAAGCUGCCUAAAUGAGCAAAAUACAACCAGACAAAAGGUGAUUACAAGAGAAUGAAAAGAAGAAACGUAAGUUGUGAACAGUAUAAAAUGCAACGCACACAAAUUACCAACAACAGAUUUUGAGGACAACUAAAUUCCUAAUUGUUCAAACUAGACAAUAUAUGCUGCUCAAAUAUUAUGUUAUCAGCUACACUGCAAGAGCGAAAGGAAAUAGUGAUGAAGAGAAAACAACAUGAACAUUUUCUAAAAGAAUACAUGCACAAGACAUAUAAAAUUCUGUCAAACCAACAUAAACUCUUUACUAUUAUGUUAAGUGAUACUCAACAGUAAAGCUGUUAUUUUCUUAUGGCAUAGUUUUGACACUAGCUGGCUAAUUCCUUGCACUAAAUGAUUCAAAUCCCUCCAUUAAUUUUUUUGGUUUUCCCCCUAGUCUGCCCCUGAUAACUGCCAUAUCAACAAACCCUACCAAAUGCCCUAACGCCCACCAACUAUAACAUGUCAACACCAACAUUCAGCUAUUCAAAGAGAACAUCAAGGGAGAAGGCAAGCUGCCAGAUAUGCAUGAACUCUCGUAGGAUCAGCACAGCUAAAGGACACGAAUCAGAUCGUCUACGAGCUCUUUCUACACAAACAAAAUGAAGCACCACUAUUGGAUAUGGACCUACAUUCUCGCUACAAAUAACCACAGGCAGCUUGGUGAAACAACUAACAUACAAAUCAAUCCAAAGCAUUAGCUCAUUGCUCAGAUGGUCACCAGUUCACCAAUGGUGACUCUGGUCCACAUCUCGACAGACAGUGUGCAAGAACACCAGAUCACUCUCGGUAGGGUUGUCAUAAUAAACAGUCCUAAACAAUACAAAGGGAGAUUAGCCCGAUCAGCAUUGCUCGCCAGGCCCAUUGAUCCCGAACCAGGUGCUUGACCGGAAUGGCUAACCUAACAGACAGGAGAUCAAACUAGGGCGUGGCAACUAACCUUGGAGAGGUCGAUGACGAUGUAGAGGUAGCGGAUGAGGCCCUUCUGGAUGCGGGCCGCGGCGGCCGCGGAGCGGAGCAGGAGGCGGCGGCGGUACUGCGAGUGGACGAGGUUCUUGGUGUCGAUGGGGCGGAGCAGGCCGGACUCGUCCUCCUGCAGCGCCUCCCACGAGCGGUCGUCGGCGUAGGCGCGCUCCCACGCCUCGAGGACGCGGCCGUCGCCGGUCUCCUCCUCCUCCUCGUCGUCGUCGUCCUCCUGGUUUUUGCGCCGCCCGGAGGCCGUGGACGGCGCGUUGAACCCGCCUCCGCCGCCGCCGACGCCGACGCCGUACAUGGUGGGGGCGGCGGCGAGGUGGAGCUGGAGUUGGAUGCUGGGAUGGGGAGUGCGAGGUCGGGACCAGGAGAUGAUGGGCCUGUGUUUGGGUUUGGGGCUCCUGGGCCUUUUGUGGGGGGCUUUUCUUGACCUUUCUGAGCUGUCUCGGCGUUUGGGGUCAGGCGGGACGCUCGGGACUCGGGGUUCGGAACGGAGAUGGGGGAGGCGAGAGGGGGCCGGCGGCGGGACACGCACCGGCGGGCGGCGGGGGAGGAACGUCGCCGGACGGACAGGGUGCUCGAGGCUCGGCCGCCGCCGUGGUCUGGCAGAGAAAGCGUGCGGUCAAUCCCUAGCCGCCGCCUCGAGUCCUCGACUCCUCCCUCUGCGCUCGGGUGUGUGGCGUGAUGUGCGCUGGCGCUACAGCGCUAGGCCGCUAGAUGACCGGGCUGCUGGGGCGACUGGGCCUAGAAUGGCUGGCGAAAUGUGCCAAAGUGGGCUGGGCCUAGAUAGGCUGGCGAAAUUUAACGUGCUAAACGAGUUGCUCGUGAAGCUCGUUUUGCUCGAGCUCGUUAAUCUUAAAAAGCUAAAACCUAAAUACUCAAUCGUGCAGCUGCGCCAUAUGGGCGUCACGAGCGCACACGAGCUAGUGCAGUGAAGUUGCUUGUAUGUAGCACUAAAGGCACCUCAUGUUUUGUGUGAUUUUAUUGUUUUGACGAGAUCAACCUAAUAGAAAGUCAUACCAGGCCAAAAAUAAGAACAUGAUGCUAAGUGAGGCAACUUUAGUGCUAAGUAGGAGCUACUUUGAUGCUAGAUGAAUUGAACCGUAUCUAUUAGUGAAUUCACCUAAUAGCCUCCUAAUUAAAUGUGCGCACUAGUGUAAUAGGUGGUAUAGAGUUAAGAUACUUGCUACUUAUGGUAUACAACCUAGAGAUGAAGCUAGUCAAUUUGAUAGUUGUGAUAACCAACUUAGAAGAAUUUUUUGUUGAUAGGCGGUCAUACUAGAAAAAAAAAGUUGCUUUCUUAUAGCACUAUAGUUGCCUCAAUACAACCCAAAGUUGCCCGCGAAAAAAGUUUGUCAAAAUGUACACAUAUGGGAUCAGAAUUCCGAUGCACGAAUCAAAAGUUAUACCUUUUGAAUUUUUUUGAAACCCAAAUAAAUGCACGCGGGAUAAGAUCGUAGGUGAUUUUCUGAGUAGCGUGAAUACGUGUAGUUUUCUUGUAAGAUGUCAGUUGGUUUCGAAAUCACGUGGGCUGAGAUGAUGGUGUGAGAAACUGAUUUGCUUUUGGGGGAAAGUGACAGUCCGCCUUCCUUUUGGGGAGAGCGCUCGACCCCGCGAGCAAGCGCUCGGGCGCCAGAUGCCACGUCCAAUCUAAAAACGCUGAUCAGCUCGGCUCAUUAACUUACGAGCAUGAGCGGAAAGAGCUAUAGAGCGCUUAUUAUGUUCACGAGCUUCGAGCUUUCCGUUGUAAAAUAAAAUAUCUAAAAAAAUAUUUAAAUCUAUGCAAUAUGAUGCUUAUGCAAAAAUAACAAUCAACUUCUAAUUUUGGAUGACCCCGGAUUGCUACGUUCGACCCUCAUAAACGGUAAUCCUGCCCUGAGAUUCCAAGGUGAGGCAAGAGGUACAAGGUUACGAACUUAACGAAAACUUAUCCAUCCAUGUUGCUCUCAUGCUACCAAUUCGAAAAAAAAGAAAAUCAAAUUUAGUGAUUAAAAAAUUAUGAGAAAAAAUGUGAAUGCUCACAACACAUGUAUCUACAACUCCUAGAAAAUUCAGAUCCAAAUUCAAAGUAGACACAUAGAGAAACAAAAAAGACAAAUUCAACAUGAAUAGUGUGAAAAAAAAACACUAUUCACAAUUGGAUUUGUCUAUUGUUUCUCAAUGUGUAUGUCAAAUUUGGAUAUCAGUUUUGUAAGAGUUGUAGACACAUGUGUAGUGAACAUUCAUGACUUUUCGGAUCUUUUUGAAACAUUUGAACUUGAAUUUUUCAAAAUGGUAUCAUGGGAGCAUCUAAGUGGUGGUGUCAUCUUAUACUUUCCCUGUUGGUGAUGAAAUUUUUACUUCAUUUUGUCCAAUGCGGAGGACAGGAACUUUUUAACAUUUUUCUGUGUAUAUUUAUACAAGGGUUAACUGUAGUAUGAGUAUUUAAAUUUAAGUGAUGGAUGGUGUGUGGGCACUCGAUCUUAAGAAUUUAAGAUGGUGCCUAGUCUUUGCUCUUGCACGGCUCAAUCCUAAUCCCAAACCGAAAUCUUGAAUUUACAGAUGAGAUAGCUUCAGCGAGUCGGUGAGCCGAAACCAAGUACAGCUGGGUCUAUUCAGCCCCCCUUUGCCUCUUGAAUGGUGCAUUUGGUCCGGCGCACGUACUAGGCAGCGUACCAUUCGCUUUCAUGCGCUCAUGCGUGCGCGUCCAUGUCCAUGUGCGGGCUCAGUUCUGCUAGGGCGCGGAAAUCAUGAUCCCUGGACUUGGGAUCCGCCAACGAUUACAAGGAUCGAUCCAUCGCAACCUCGGCGCUGUAGGGUCAUCACCAGUUCAGUUCAGCGCUGCUUGUCCACUGUCUACUCAACAUACAGCAAUCUACUCCUACUAUCUACUACUCCCUCCGUUCCUAAAUAUAAGUCUUUGUAGAGAUUUCACUAUGAACCACAUACGGAUGUAUAUACAUGCAUUUUAGGGUGUAGAUUCAUUCAUUUUGCUCCGUAUGUAGUUCAUAGUGAAAUCUCUACAAAGACUUAUAUUUAGGAAGAGAGGUAGUAGCACUUUUUGAGAGCGACUCCGAGCUGGUGGUGGUUGCGGCUUAAGUGCUCCGGGAGGUAGGUUCGAUCGAUGCGUGGAGCCAAAUGUUUUGGGUUCAUCCACAGGUUUGUGAUGAUGCCAUUAUUUGUUUGUUUGUUUAUUAUACUACCACUAGAAGUCAUGUACUACCUUGGAUGAGCACGACUUGGAGCCAAAUUGCGGGUGUCUGAUGAUCAGUGCUUGCUGCCACGGAAGAAGUGAAAAAAUAUGAACGUAUAUGGUUGACGCGCGAUCGUCUGUUUUCACCCCAAAUUCGGGUUAAGCUGGCGACACACACACUGUCGGCUCUGUUUCUCUGCCACCUGAGAUUCGCCUCUUUUUUUUUUUACCUGCUCGCAGCCGCGUAGGCGUAGGCGUCGAUCCACCACGCGCCUAUUGCUGCUCGUCCACUUUGGUCGCCGGUGCGAUUCCUGACCGGCGCACGGGACAAGGGGUGACCCACUUGCCUUUUUUAUUCUACCAAUCGGAUCAGAGGGUGAGGGAGGAGGAGGAGGAGUAAAGCGCCGACGUUUCCUGCCUUGCAAGUUUACCUCGCCCGGCGGCCAGCCAAACCAAAAUCAAUUGAGACACACUCGAUGGAUGGAUCGAUCGAGACGUGAGCAUUUCACCCUCCGGUUCCUUUCGGGAACGGCAAUGGCGGGAGAGGCAAGGCCGAGCUGACGUCUGACCACGGGACUUGAUUGUCCUUGACCAGCUUGAAAUGGAUGAGGUGGUGGGCCUGCUCUGCUGCUUGCUUUAAGCUUACUUCUCCGGGAUGGUGUGACGGCGUCAGCAUUGGCUGGCAAAAUCCAGGAUAGGAUCAGCACGGGUGGCGGCACCGCUAUGUUUGCUCAUCUCUCGUGAAGAUAAAACCCACCGUAGUACAGUUUGUUAUAUCUGCUACAGUUCCACGGUGGGAUCACAGGUCACAUAGCAGCACUCUCUCGAGUGGCAUCACCUAUGCUAUCCAAAAACAUUUUUUUCCUUUUCAGAUGGAGGCAAAAGGUAGGAUCCAAGACCACCAAGGAAGGGGUACUGGGCAGAAAAAACUUGCACCGGGCCGCCGCACCAUCAACCAAGGCCGGCAGCAAGGGUGGUGGCAGGGCCGCAGCGGCCCUGGCGAUGGCAGAUCGCCAUCCCAUUGCUCCGGCGACUCGUACCUCGUCUCCGACGAUCCCUACACCCCCUCGUCCAGCAUGUCCGACCACCGCCAAGUGGUUGAUGAAAUGUUGGAGAGGUAAAACUUUGCGCCUUUUCUUUUCGCUCGAUACAUUGCUGAUUGCUUGCGGAGAUAUAGUGAUGGACUUAUUGUUGUUGAUUACAGUGUGGAGGAGUUGACUGCGACCAAAUUCUUGUCUGAAUUGAAGGAGUCACUCAUGCUUGGCCUUGAUGAUCGACACUAUGAAGAGUCGAUGUUUGCUCAACAAGAAGAGGCUGGGGAGGAUGAUGAUCCCGAAGUGGAGGAGAAGGUCAAUGAUCCAAUGAAGACACACGGAAGCGUAAAGAUAUCGAUGAGACGCAACUAUUCCCAAGAAGAAGACGUUGCUUUGUGUCAUGCUUGGAUGAACGUGUUGCUCGAUGCAUUGGUUGACAUGGAUCAAUCAAAGGAUAAGUUUUAGCGUAGGAUUGAAUAGUACCGUAGCAACAUCAUGGAUGUCUCAUCAAGCUGCACUCAAGGCUCUCUUGGGCACCUUUGGGGCACCAUCCUAAAGCAAUGCAACCGAUAGUCCACUUGUAUUGAUCGAGUCAACCAUUCACCAUCGAGUAGGGUGCAAAACACGGUCUAUGGCCCCAUCAUCAAAGAUCUAUACAAGAAACACAACAAGAAGAUGGUGGCCAGGGCUUCACGUUGCACCAUUGUUACAAAGAACUUUGCAACAGCGAGAAGUGGAUUAGGAGGAACUCCGAGACGACACUGAAGAGGUCAAUGAUUGGCAUAUCCGUUGAAACCGAUGACGAUGACGAUGACGAUGAAAAUCCCAACAAAAGGCCAGACGGUAAUAAGAUUGCAAAAGAGUGGAAGAAGAGAGGAGGCUUCGACGCCUAUAGGGAAGAGCUUUUGGCUAUGAUCUAGACAAAGAAAGCAUUGAUGGACGAACACAAAGAAGAGAAGGUGGCAAGGUAGGAUGAGCUCAAGUCCUUGGAGGACGAUAAAUGGUGGUCCAAGUUGGUAGCCUAAGAGAGGAAGGUGAAGGCGGAGGAGCGUAGGCUUGCACUCGAGGAGGAGAGGCUUAUGAAAGAGAAGAAGGCCAAAGAAUGUGUAUCGUGUUUACGGACCCAACCAUGAUGGAUGCCACAGCAAAAAGGUAUUGGAAGCUCACUCGUGUAGAUAUCAUGAACCAAUCGGGGGAUGGUGGUGGUGGCCGUGGGAAUGGCGGUGGAGAAGGAGGUGAUGAUGGUGGUUGCGGGGAUGACGGUGGAUGAGGAGGUGAUGGUGGUGGACAAGGAGGUGAUGGUGGUGGCCUUGGAGGUGGUGAUGGUGCUUGAGUUCAUGUAGUAUGCAUUUGGUAGGGCUCGAUCCACGACAAUGCAUGCCAUGUUGUGGUGAUUUUGGAUCAAACUUGACCGAUGUGGUCGUUUUGGAUGAACUCUAUGUAUGUUUUAAUUUGAGUUGCUCGAUGUCAAUGAUAUGAUAUGUAUGGUUGAUUUGUUGCGUGUGUUGAAUUUCAAUCAUGAUGAAAUAUGGUGCAAUUGUUUGAAAUGUAUGUGAAAAGGUUAAAAGAAUUGAGUGGAAAAACAGUAAGGAGUUAAAUAUAAGGGAUCGACUAGGAACAUCCACCCUUUAACUCCUUAAAUUGCAAGCAGUUAAAGACAAGGGCAGGCUAUGGAGUUAAGUUUUACGGGAUCAGUUAGAGAUGCUCUUAGGAUUCUUCUGGCUAGGUGAUACGUAGAAUUUGUAAACAAUAGUUUUGCAGCAUGUUCAACUCGAAUCCGAAUGUUGAUCAGUGUGCCAUCUUAGAAAUCUUCAAAAUUGGUCGAGGCAUAGGAACAAUGGAUGAAGUUGGUGGUGGAAUCCACGAAUUAUGAUAACGUAUUGAUGGUGAAUGAGAGUCGAGGAUGGUUGUCAAACUUGUGAUGGCGGUGACUGGAGUCAUGAACGUAAACAUGAUUAGAGUUGACGGAUGACAUGGAACCGAUGCUUAUGGGCAAUACUCGGCAUUGACCAUCAUCAUAUAAUUUCAAUAGUGCCCAUCAAUGGGCAUGUGGUGGCCAAGUAGAUAUUUUCGUGGCACUGGUGUGGAAGAUAUUAGGAAAUAGUUUGUUGAGAGGAAAAGCCAAGUCCAUGAAGCAUUUUUUUGUAUCACAUCAAAAGUGGGUAAACAGAAGGAGAUCGUACGUAGGAGUGAAACUGUGUGGACUUUCUACGAUAUAGAUGAUAGAGCAGACGAAGGAAAAGAUAAUGUGUCGGUUGCUAUGAGAUACCUUUAUUGUUGUAAUAAGAAUGGCAAUAAGAUUUUUAUGAGAUCAGAGGUUGUAGAUAUGAUGUGGUGCACACGAUGUUUUACUUAUGCCAGAUCCUCAUGGAACCAUGGUUAAAAUCUAAUAUUGAAUUCAUAUAAUCUAAACAAUUUUGAAAACAUUGCUCCUGUUUAAUUAAAUUCCGCAAUAUUGGAUCUUAUCAAAACUUUUACUAGUAGCAUGAAGUAUGGUGUCAAUAGUCAAUACACAAGGUACAAUAGCCUAGAUAAAUAGGUCGAUGCCACUAUGCCAAGGUCCAUAGACCCGGUGUCAAACAAUGGCUCCAGAGUUGAGACCAAUGCCAUAGUAACUUGUGAAGCCUCUAAGGCCGGUCAGACCUCUCACAAUGCAUUGGUGCUAAGAGGGUGUUUGUUUCCACAGACUUAUUGGUUUAGGGACUUAAAUAAGUCCCUAUAAGUCCCAUCUAAACCAAACAGGAGGGACUUAUAGGGACUUAAAGUGGGCAUUUGAGACUUAUGAAAUAAGACUCUCAAGGAGGGACUUAUAGUUGUAUUAUGGUCUUAUAGAGACUUAUAAGUCCCAGGAACCAAACAGGUAGGGAUUUUUUAGGGACUUGAGACUUAUAAGUUGGGACUAAAAAAAGUCCUAGAACUUAUGAGCCAAACAGGGUCUAAAGUAAGGUGCUAAGUGCGUUAAAAUGUUAGCAAUUAAUAUCCCCAAUGCAUGGGUGCUUAGUUUUCGUAGCUAAGCCUCCUUUACUUAAUUAUUUAAUGAGAAAACUCCUUCACGUAUUAGUUGGUAGCCUUUUUGCAUAGGUUCACGUGCUUAGCAUUGGUUCUUCUUGGGGUCACUAUAAUACUCUUUCUCCUCUUUAAUUACUUUGCCACCUCAUUUUUCUGCCUAUGUGGCACCCUUAGCACCUAUCCACCAUGGAGCACUGGGAAGGGCCUCAUAUAGUGGUAGUAACAUAACAUAUCCCAAGAAAAGUUUACUUAUGUGGCUUGUAGUUAAUGAGGAGAGAUGUGUUUGGAGUAACAUAAUAUGUUACCGUAACGUUGCGCAUCCCAAGUCACAGUAAGUCACAAUAAGUGAUUACUUGCACGAUACCACACAUAUGUUAUUCCCCACAGUGAAAGUAAUACUAGUAACAUCCUAAGUCACUUCCCACUAUGACUAGCCUAAUCCAGUUCUCACUAGAGCCGUCAAAUAUUGUGGAUCUGGUCAAAAGAUGAUUCUUUUUGAAUCUCAAAUGUUUGAGAGAGGAAUUUAGUGUGAACGGCAGAGCACGUGGUAGACACGUAACCACGUUAGUUGUAAAAACUGCCUUCAAAGGCAAUUUUGCUAUUAUGUCGAUUAUAAGUGACAUGAUAACUCCACGUAACCAAUUGAUUGCACUAUAACCAUACUGUAAUAAUCCAGCUCUUACUAUAGCCUUCUAAUGUUGAGGAUCUGGCGCAAGAUAGAAAAUUUACAACUACUGAAGAAUUGUGUCAAUAGUCAAAAGGAUCAUGAAGAAAGUUGAGGAUACGGCGCAAGAUGAAGAUUUGGAAUCAAACGAGAAGGGAAUUUACUGUGGACGGCAGGGCAGGUGAUGGACACGUGGCCGCGUCAGUUAAACCAGCCAAACAGGAGUAAAAUUUUUUUUUGCACACACGCAUUCGGAAAAGGUUCAAAGACCCCGAUGCAUCUUCCCACCCGCCAAUUAAUGCCCCCUCGGGACCAGCGCAUCACUUCAAUGCGAAGAACCAAAAAGACCCGAGACGGAGGAGCAGAAGAAAAAAAAGAGAGAGCUUCCACCGCGGGCAGAAGGAAGCAGCAGCAGCAGAGCUAGCGCGAGGCGGGCCGCGGGAUCCCGCGCGCAUGGCGGCGCCCUGAGGGAGCCCGCGCCGCCCACCGGGCUCCGGCGGAGAUGCGGCCGCGGGGAGCCGCCCUGCUCCUCCUCCUCGCCGCGCUCUCCUCCGUUUAUGGUACGCACGCUCGAGAUUUUCUCCCCUCCCCUCUCCGCUGUUCUUGCACGGGUGGUUUAUCUUGCUUUUUCUUGGAUUCGACAUUCGAGCCGCAAUGCCGGGUGGAAUUCUGGCCUCGGCUCGCGGCCCUGCAAUGGGAUCGCCCGGGGAAAGCGGCGGCCAUGGCGUGCGUGGCAAGUACCCCCAUGGCCAUGACUUGUGCGGGGGAAAGGUUUUUGCCUUUGCUUCAUGGAGCUGGCCCCUGCGAUUUGCCUGAGCGCAUCUGAAUCCAGGCCGGGCGGACAAGGCAGAGGUUGCCGUCUCCGGCCUCCUUUUCCUAGCUGCUUUUCAUGAACCAAAUCAGGCUCUGCACAUCAAACCUGUAAUCUGGAUGCAAAUUUGUGAUUCGGAUUUGUUGCAUCGUCGGUGCCAGCAAGCAUCGGUACCGAAAUUUCUAGGUUUUGGUGCAAUGCUGGCGAGGGGUUUUGGCCUUUUGGGCAGGUUCCGUUCGGUCGGUCCUCAUCUUCUUGCAUAGAGCAGCUGGCAUUGCACUCGGCGGCACCCACUCGACUUUAUGCAUAAUGCCAAGCUCCAACCGAUGAGGAAAACAUGCCUACGUUUUCAUUUUUGAGCCCAUUAAACACAUUGCCGUUUCAGCUAUAGUGAAUGCAAGUUUUGUAUUAUCUAUUUUGGUGUUUGUAUAUGCAUUGCAUGAGUUCAAAGUUCAGACACCUUUCCUGAAUACCCUUACCCUGUGCAGUGCCACUGGGAACGGCAAGCUCAACAACCAUCACGGCCUAUUUACUUGGAUUAUGGAGUAGAAAUCAUCGGCAUUCGGUUCUUUCCCCUGCACCAGCCCCUUCUCCGGGGCCUCAAAGUAAGUAGAACUACUCAUGAGGUUUCUACAUAUAAUUGGUAAUUACAGGUGUAGCAUAGCAAUCACAUACUUUUUCUGUCCGUGACAUAAGAUCAUUAUUUUCCCAUUUCAAUUAUCCUGUUUAUUUUGAAUUGUUUGUAUCACUUAUCUAUGCUUUUGUUUAUCAGGUGCCUCUGUUUAUCACCCAGUGCAUAGGCAUCACAGAAAACGGCCUCGUGUCGCCCCACCGUCUUCGUCACCAUCAUUCGAAAGACAAGGUUUUACUUUUCUCCUCAGACCAAUAGAAACUGCAUCUUCCUACUCUUAGUACUGAACAUCACAUUACUAAUAGGCCUGCCUGUCACUGAAAAUUAAACAGAUUGCAGUGGGAUAACUUGUUCCGCUCCGCUCACUUCUACUCCAAUCGGUUCCCCUUGUGGUUGUGUAUAUCCUAUGCAAAUUCAGCUCGAUCUUAGUGUGGCGCCGUACCAGUUGUUCCCUAGAGUUGAUGAGCUAGAAAUCGAGAUUGCAGCAGGUACAUUCCUGAAACAGAGUCAAGUUCGGAUAAUGGGUGCUGGGGGCAGUAUUCAAGAUCCAGAUAAGACUACGGUCACCAUCGAUUUGGUGCCACUAGGUCAGAAGUUUGAUAGGACUUCAGCCUUGCUGAUUAGCAACAGAUUUUUGCGAAAGAAGGUUCCUAUAAAGUCAUCUAUUUUUGGUGAUUAUGAUGUAACAUAUGUUCAUUAUCCUGGUGAGUGACAUGAUUGUUGUUGACACAUCCACUUCGCUAGCGUAAUGGCCCAUUAGUCAAGUUUUGCUUGCUUUAUUUGAUCACAAAAACAUUGCAGGCCUUCCUUCUUCAGUACCUAAUAUCCCAGGAUCCUUGGGUCCAAUAAGCAGCAAUGAGUAUCCCUUUGGUGCAAAUGUACACAAUGGAAGCCAUCCGAAGAUUAGCUCCAAAAUUGUCGCCAUAAUUGCUCUGUCAGCUGUUGUGUUUGUUUUGACAUGUUUUGGCAUCUGCAUCAUAUGCAAAUACAAAGGACGCCAAAAGCCUCAUGGAAUUGGUCAUGCUUCAAAUUCCUCGAACACCAGAAAAACAGGUAAUUUUGUUAGCAGCUAUUGUAUAAUACACUACACCUCUAAUUUCUGCAUUAUAGCAAUUUGUACUAAGUUAGUUAAGCUGAGAAUUAAACACCAGGCCUUGACUGUACAAAUUCUAAUCUUGCUACAAUUUCCUAGUGACUAUGCACCAGGGACAACAAAGCUUCAUUUUCAGAUCGUUUAAUAUCCGAACAGUUUGUAAUAACACCUUGUUACUAACGGACUGUUUCAGGUAUGAGGUCAUCGUUCUCCAGUAUGACUAGCUCGACAGCAUCUUUUCCUUCGACUAUAGCAACCUGCCCGCGCACGGUUAAGACAUUCUCAAUUUCUGAGCUUGAGAAGGCAACAGACAAAUUUAGCUUCAACAGAAUAAUAGGUGAAGGAGGGUAUGGACGUGUUUAUCGCGGCAUAGUUGAAGAUGGAGUUGAGGUAGCUGUCAAAUUGCUCACUGGGAAACAUCAAAACAGAGACCGUGAGUUCAUCGCAGAGGUUGAGAUGCUAAGUCGUUUGCAUCACCGCAAUCUCGUCAAGUUGGUCGGUAUAUGCGUUGAACGGAGCACGCGGUGCUUGGUAUUUGAGCUUGUGCCAAAUGGAAGCGUGGAGUCACACCUGCAUGGUAUGUGAACUAUGUUGACCUGCAUAACAUGUCCGCGUUCAUAGUGUUUAAGAAACUUUACCUCCAAAGCGUACAACACCAUAUGCAUAUAUGAUCUGGUCUUUUUUGUUGGCAUAUAAAAACCCCAGGAAAUUCUCUACUGUAAAUAUGUACUCCUAAUAUACUUUCUGUUUUGAUAUUUCAGGUCCAGAUAAAAUAUAUGGCCCACUUGACUUCGACACCAGAAUGAAAAUAGCGCUGGGUGCAGCAAGGGGUCUGGCCUACCUGCAUGAGGAUGCCAAUCCCCAUGUUAUUCACCGUGAUUUCAAGGCUAGUAAUGUUCUACUGGAGAACGAUUUCACCGCCAAGGUUGCGGAUUUCGGGUUGGCGAAGGAAGCAUCAGAAGGAAUUGAGCACAUUUCCACUCAGGUCAUGGGAACUUUCGGGUAAGAAUCCUGCUGUUACUGCCAUCGUUGUAGAGUAAUACACCGCGCUAAGUUUCUUUGAAUCCUUGUGGAGUUUUGAAACGGAUCAUGGAUCAUUUGCAGGUACGUUGCCCCGGAGUAUGCAAUGACGGGGCAUCUCCUUGUCAAGAGCGACGUGUACAGCUACGGCGUGGUGCUCCUGGAGCUCCUGUCGGGCCGGAAGCCGGUGGACAUGACCCAGCCGCCAGGUUCCGAGAACCUGGUCACCUGGGCGCGCCCGCUGCUGACCAACCGGGAGGGCCUGCAGCUGCUGGCGGACCCGUCCCUGCCGGCGGCGAGCCGCGACAUGGAGAAGCUGGGCAAGGCGGCGGCCAUCGCGUCCAUGUGCGUGCACGUGGAGGCGGCGCAGCGGCCGUUCAUGGGCGAGGUGGUGCAGGCGCUGAAGCUGAUCUACAGCGGCGGCAACGAGGAGACCUGCAGCGGCUCCCUGGGCGGCGGCGGCGGCACGCCCACGGAGGAGGAGGAGGAGUCCCCGUGGAACGACGGCGGCAGGAGCUGCUCGUGGCACGACGACAGCGACGCGCCGUCCUGGCCGCGCGUCCCCGGGGCGCCCCGCGCGAGCGCGGCCGCGGGCUACAGCUCGGACCUCGCGGAGGAGCCGUCGGCGCGGCGGCCGCGGUCGACGCCGAGCGCCGUGCUGGACAGGAUCGAGUCCCUGGCGGCGUACGACUGGUCCGGCCCGCUGAGGACCAGGGCCAGGAACUUCUACCGGCUGAGGGGCAGCAUGAGCGAGCACGGCCACCGCCCUUCCGACGACGGCAGCGUCGAGGGCGACUGGAUAUAGCUAAGCUAGCAGCCGAGAGAGAGAGAGAGUUCCAUUCCAUCCCGUUGUGUAAUUGUAUAGCCCGCGCUAGGUAAGGUACUUCUUCUCGAUCCGAUUUUGAUGCGAAGAAAAGAACCCCUGGUUCUAGAUCAUUUUUAAUCUAGUGGAUGAUGCAUCGUGCAUGCGUUUUGGGCCAGAAGUUUGUUUUCUUCUUUCCCGAGAGCCGAGAGGACACGAACUGAGUAUUUACUUUGCACUAGUAAAAAGCCCGUGCGAUUGCCACGGUCAUCUAAAAAAAAUCUAUAGAUAGCAUAUGUAAACAUAACUAUAGGUUAAAAUGUCCGUGCCGUAGGAGGUUUAGUCCCAUCUUGUCAUGCGAGGAGCGAGUCGACCGGCUUAAAUAGCAGUGUCGUCCAAAAGUGAUAAGCAUUGAUGGCGGAAGGUUAUUGCGUGUCAUUGUUGACAAUAUCCCUCAAAAAGGAGCAUUGAUGGCUGCCCGACACUUUUUGCUUCGUAGGUGCAGUGUGCAGUCCGACAGUAGAGGGAAGGUCCGGUGCAAGGGUGGCGGCGAAGGUAGCAGACAUCUGAUGGGAACACGGUCAUAAAGAAGAACUUUUUUUAAAAAUAUAUAUGAAGUCCUAAAGGAGUAUGCAUCUGACUUGUGAGCAUUGUAUAUGCAUAUCCCCCUUUACUUCCUUGACUAUACACUUAGAUUAACAUCUCUAUGCUACAAAUUAAGAAAAUACAAAAAUACUUUAUGUAAACAAUACAAAUUCACGAUAUCUAUCUUGGGUGGUAUCGUAGGACACUACAUGAAACAAUAUCAUAAAUAAACAUCUUUGUUGAAUGUAACUUCGCCGAGAAAAAUAGGAUGGCCCUCUUGUCUUAUAUGAAGAAUAUAAGUAUAUAUGUCAAUACAGAAGAUAAGAGGGCCAUCCUAUUUUUCAAAGAUUAAAAAUUAGGAAUUUACAAGAGAGUUCCAACCCUAAGGCAAAAGGGAAAAAUAACAACAAGAUGUUGUAUAGGAUGUGCUGCCUCUCACAAGCAUCUUUAAACUGCUUAAUGUCACCUUUUGUGAGAAAUGUGCUAAGAAAUCGCAAUGCAAAUUUACAUGUUCAAAUUUAUCAAAAGAAAGUACUCACGGGACUUCAGAUAAGAGCAAAACCUAGCAUGCAAAUACCAAAGUCAUAUUCUUUUCCAUCAACAGUUCAUUCUAAACUCCCGAGAUUCUUGAUAUGGUAUGACAUACUAAUGCAUCAAUAUAGUGCUCACAUUUUCCCCUUGGAUCGAUUAAUUGAAAAUAACACUCAACCAUGGACAUGUACUAUUUGUAUUAUUAUUUUUUGAAAUGGACGUGUAUCAACCAUCUAAUUCCCAAAAUUGACCAAAAAUCUAAUUUCUCUUCAUCUCAAUCUUUAGCAUAAAGCUAUUCUAUUAAUCUAAUGUCUUUUGCCCAGGAUACUCUCUGCGGGGUCCCCCUCACGUCGUCUCCCUGAGUGAGGCUCCCCUCCCUCCCUCCAGUUCCCCCUACCCCUAACCCCCUCUCUCCGCCGCCGGCGUGCGCCACCGGGCCUUGCUCGCUUGGUGUUAGCGCGGCAGCCCUGACAUUCCCCGCACGCGAUGCCCCUGCUCGGGAGGUGGCGCCUGGCGGCGGUGCUCCUAGGUCGUCAACGGGUCCGGUAGCGGCGCAAUGUCUCAGGUUGUGCAGCACCGAGUGGUGAGGUGGCAAUGGCGUGGCUGAUUGGCUGCCUAUUUCGGAGGAAAAAAGACAAUUGCUAGACCAGAUAAGAAUCUACUUACUGCUCACUCUCUUCCUCGAGUACUCCUCUUCUUCUCUCGUUUCUCUACAACCAGUCAAGCUCGCCUGACGGCACCGCCGCCUGAUGGCUCGACCCCCUUCAUCACAAAACCUUAUACUUGAAAUGAUAUUGAGAGUACACCAAACUACACAGUAGGAUUCCAAACCGAACCUUUAUAUCUAGCAUAUCAUAUCUAUUCCAUAUUUCAAAAUGCAGGAAUAUGCUGCAACUCUGCAACAGACAACACCAUGUAUUUGUUCUGUUACGCUACAUUGCCAUUUACUCUUUACAUGACCUUUUGUUCAUCAAUAACUAAACCGUGCCCAAAAGAACUGGAUUCCUUUUAAUUCACAAUAUGGCAAUCCCAUGUAAAGCUUGCAUUACUGAGAUAAAAAGGAAAGCGAUCGACCUCCUUAAUUAAUUAGUAGGACCUUGAUCCAGCGCUUAGAAGCUUGCAUACUGUGAUAAAAAUAAAGUCAACGAGCCUGUUGUAUGCACAAGAAGCAAGCAAACAACCAACUUAAUUAAUUAUUAGGACAUCCAUCGCUAAUAAUGGUUCAAAGUACAAACAACUCUUGAACCAUUUGUUAUUAAUCGGAGGAACCUGGUUCAGUGAUCAACCUUGUAAAACCUGACAUACUGUUACAUAUAGAAAAACCAUGGGAAACAACAUAAUUGAAAAUAUUCAUAGAUGAGGCCCAAUAUAGAAAACCAAAGGUGACAAAAAUAUGGCAAUGGAAAAUGCUCUCUAAACUGAACUAAAUAACCCCCACCAAUUCUGAUCCAUGAACAUUUUGCCAAAGAACCAAUUCAUGCCAUAAUAUUAUGCACCUACAAAUUGUGUCUUCCUCUUCCUCUAUCACUUGGAGGAAGUAGAUAGUGAUCCUUAUUAAAAAAUAUCAUAAUAUAUCAUGAAAUAAACAUGAAUAAAUAUACGUAAACAGAAGGUACGGUAACACAAUCAUAAAAUGAAAGGCAUGGUUCUUCAUUUAUUUUCUAUCUGCUUUGCUCCUCGUGUCUUCUUCCUCUAUUGCCUCACCCCCAUCCGUCGUUGUUGUGUCAUCACGUUCCUCAGUACUGAGGGAACAAAACACAAACAAGUAAUCGAGCAGAGUAUUUUUUAGAGAGGCAUGCGGACAUUGACAUAUCAGGGAAAACGUCAAUGACUAAACAUUCCUAUCAGGAUUGCUAGCUUUACUCUUGGAAUGUUGGAAAUGGGUGUUGAAUGAAAUAUAUAUACUGUCUCAUAAACUUCUUCACUUUUUGUUCAAGGAUUUACCUUCAUCAGCUACUGAAUUCAGAUUCAAACCAACCUACCCAAAGCCACCAACACAUAAAUCAUGCAACAUAGCCUAAAUCACUAUAUUCAACUCGGGGUGAUGAUUCGAACUGCAUCUACUCAUUCAGGACGGUUGGAUUCCAAGUUUCUAAUCACCAAAAAAUCAUUAAUGUGCAACUAUAUAUCACAACAACCUGCAAAUGUUCAAAUUUCAUAUUAGUCGGGUUCCAUGCAAACCUUGGCAUGCUACAAGUAACGCAAUAAAUUUGAAAUUAAUAUGUUUGGAGUUCCACAAAUCUCAGCCACGCACAACCAAAACUAAGAAGCAAUGAAAACUCACCGGGGAAACGAUUGAGGAAGAGAUCGAGCCCGAGCCCGUGACACGAAGCAGCCCUGGCCGCCAGGUGCCGUUCCUUCCGCCUCCCCAUCAUGCACAAUCAUGUAAGCAAGCUGCACAGAGGAGUCGGCUCCGGGGCCUCCACAUCUCCUCCCAGCUCCAACAGGGUGCCGCUAGUAUCUCCAGUAGCAGCUCUGGCGGCGUCCGUUUCCGUCGGGAACCUCCACAUCAGCGCCUAGCUCGAGCAGCAAACGCACAUCCACCACACGGGCGUCCCCGCCACGACGCGCGCAACAACGUCGAUGGUGCACUUCUUGUCGCCUACAUCCUCCUAACCAGGCGAGUGCACACAUGCACCCCUCGGACCACCCUACCACAAACUAGAUCGUCGUGUGCCCGACAGUCCCGCCCAUCCUCCACAUCAGACUUCUUGGCAUGAAAUCUCUGCAUUCGUGUAUAUAUCCAUGGCCACAAUGUGUUUGUGGGACAGAAUCAAAUUCUCCAAAUUAGUGGAUCGAGCACCAGACCCCAUGGCCACAAUGUGUUUGUGGGACAGAAUCAAAUUCUCCAAAUUAGUGGAUCGAGCACCAGACCCGGCAACUGACAAAAUUCAUUGGCAUCAGUGGAUCAUUGUGUUUGUCCGCCGAAUCGCCGAUGCUGCGGCGGCGCACGCUUCCCUAGUCCGCCCAAAUCACGGACGCCGUGCACAGUGCCCUUGCGCUUGCGACGCCCACUGCACCGCCUUCGGCACCGUGGGUGUGCUCACGCCGCUGAUGCCCAUGGGUCAUCGCUGCUGGCCACGCAGCCAGGGAAUCGCACCGCCGCCGUGAAUGAUUCGAACCAUUCCAAGACUACAAUAUGAGCGAUCUGGGAGGAGUACGUACAGGGAAGUUGCCCUUCCCAUUCCAGGAUUACAAAGAGUGAUUUCUGGUUCGAGUAGGUACAGGCAGAAAAUAUGAUUUCGCUAUGAGAAGAUUGAUGGUAUGGGAUUUGCAUCUACUUUUGUCAGGCCUUGGCGUCAAGGGAAGAAAAAGGUUGUGUUCCAAUUUUUACAUGAGAGAUGUGCCCUGAAUUAACUCGAACUAUGGUAGGUGGGGAUUGCAUGCCGAUUUUUUCUGUCUUCUAAGGAAAGAGGAGAGACAACCGAAGUAAGGAAUAAAAUCGUUGGGGGUUGAUUUUGAUCGAUCGAUGGGACGGGUUGUGAACGAACGAACGAACGACUUACAGACUGCUCCAUUAGGAGUAGAGAUAUUAGAGUUGUCUGAAAGUUUGACUAAGUUUAUAAAAAAGUAUAAAUAUUUACCAUAAAAAAUCUAUAUUAUGUGAAAGUAUAUUCAAUAAAAAAUCUAAUAAUAUUGAUUUGUUGUUGUAUAUGUUAUUAUUUUUGUUUAUAAGCUUUGUCAAAAUUUACAAAGCUUUGACUUUGACCAAAGCUAAUAUGCGGGCUAAAAAAAACAGAGGGAGUACUUCAACCGAUUUUUUUGGAACAGAUAAGAAUCAGCCUACCGAUCACGUGUACACUUCCGCCGCAUGCGCAGACGUCAGAUACGAGUUUGGCCAGCCGACGCACAACCGGCCAGGACCUCGAAGUUUGAUCAGCCAACGUGCACCCGGCCAGGACCUCCACCACUGGACGCGUACUUCUGCCACUUAACAGUUUUUCUGCAACAUCUGUUUUGCAAAAGUUCUUCCGCAAUAUCACCCAUGCUACAAAAAUGCUAAGAUAAAAAAAAAUCUACAACACCAGCUGUGUUACACAAGUCCUUCUACAAUAAUGCCCAUGUUGCAAAAAAAUUAAGACAAAAAAAAUCUGCAACAUCAUUUGUGUUGCAGAAGUCCUUCCGCAAUAACACCCAUCUUGUAAACAAGUUAAGAUGAAAAAAUUCCGCAACACCGUCUAUGUUGCAAAAGUCCCUCCUCAAUGAUACUCAUGUUUCAAAAAAGUUUCAGACGAAAAAAAAUCUGCAACAGAACCUCUGUUGCAAAUGUCUCUGCAACAAGAGACCUGUUGCAAAGAUUUCUGCAACACUCGCUUUGUUGAAAUGGCGAGGAAGGGGUCGGGCCGCUGGAUGGCCCCAUAUCAAACGGAUGCGGAGGCGGCUGAUUUUUUAAAAAGAUCCGUUGGCCGAUGCGUGGUGUCGCCUUUUUUUGGAAAAAGAAACAUAACUAUUAUAAAGAUUCACCAGAAGUACAAAACACCUCAAAUAUAAUAAAAAUUACAUUGAGGUCCAUGGACCACCGAACAACCGUUGCAGCCGCCAGAAUGAGCUGCCGUCAUGUCGCUGUCGCCGCUCCCAUAGCAGAGCCGGACUGACCAUGUCGAUGACAGCAGGGAAGUCUUCAUGCACGUGCCCCUAAGGACCAACACCUUGGAGCCGCAGCCGUUGCCGUUGAAUCCUUGAAUCUAUUGAAGAACCUGACACCAAAUAUCAUCGUUGCAUAUGCGUUGCGAGAAACCCUAACCUUGUCGCCCCAAGGAGUUGGCAGGAAUAUACGCCGGAGCUCCGUCUAAGCUGUCCCAAUGAACGAACUUGAGGAGAAUCGGAGACCGAAAGGCCGACUCGAAGAAGUAGUGCUUCCAUCCAUCCAAACACCACCCCUACGAGUACUAAAAUCCUACCUAUCUACUAGCAGGAGUCGAGACACCAGGAUUCUUCUGCUCACCACCUGUUGGGGAUAUUACUACUGGGCGUAAACUGGCCUAUCUGGUCUGGGUUAACUUCAUCAGUAGUUAAGUAUGUUAAAGCCCAAGAAGACAGAGGAGGGCUCAAGGCCCAUGGUCGGUUCAAGGCCUGUAGCCAUAAACCGGCGUUAGUAGUUAACCUGCAUUGUAAGUUAGGAAUAAGUAGAGACCAAACCGGACACAUCUAUGAGCCGGUAUUGGGACUCCGUAAGCCGACGGGAGUCACCCGUGUAUAUAAGGGGACGACCCGGCGGCGGUUCAAGGACAACAGACAACAACUCGAGACAUAGGCGAAGCUUGUUGGCUCCCUAGUCAUCGAAACCCCAUCAAUUCCAUAACAACUAGACGUAGGCUUUUACCUUCAUCGAAGGGGCCGAACUAGUAUAAACUCUCUUGCAUCCUUGUGUCCGCUUUAACCCCUUCAAGCUAACCCGUCGCGAUGGCUCCACGAUUAAGUUCUUUCUCUAGGACAUCUGCCGUGACAAAACCACGACAGUUGGCGCCCACCGUGGGGCUGUCGCACGAUGGUUUCCGGUUCUUGGAGGGCCGCUUUGAAGGACUCGAGGGCUACGUUGUAGGCCGGAUGACUAAGAGUCGCCGCGGUAAGCUUUACAUCGACGACGCAGGCUGGGGCCCCGAGGCCGGCUCAAUUGAGUACGGGUAUCGGGUCCCCUUUGGUAGCAUUCACGUUUUCAUUGGCAAGAUCGAUGAACCGGGCCCUGAGCCGGACAUCUGCACCAACCUCGUCGAGACGGCUCAGCGUGCGCGAUCCGCCCGGGUUAAACCGGCCAUGAAGCGUGCCUUUGUGGGAGUCAUCCAUGGAGGAAGUUAUGAGGAUGGAUCGGAAUUUCGUGGCGCGACCGUCGUUUGUUCCGGUGACGAAUCUUCGACCGGAGAAACCGAAUCUCUUUAUCAGCUACAAGAUGGCCGGAUUGGGAGUUGUUGCGAUGGCGAUAGUAUUCCGGACCCCUCUGAUCUGCCCAACCGGGUUGGAAUAUUCAUGGCCGGAACACAAGCGGCGCUUCAUUCUUCGACAGCUGUGGCAACGGUCUCCGGUUCAGCAGCGGCGACGGCUGCCGGGGCAGGAGGCCCUGUGCGCCCGCCGGCUCAGGUUCUAUCAGAAUUUGAUGUGUUGGCUGUGCUUAUGGCGGAAGUUAAUCCGCUGGAUCAGGACGUUCACAACGCGGAGAUUGCAAAGGUAAAGGAACAGAUCACCCAAGCCAAGGCGGAUCUGGCGGCUGAGGACACCAGGAUGGCCGCAGAGCGGGUCGCCUUAGAUGCACAGGCCUACAAGCUUAUGUUGGACCAGAGCGUGUCGCAUGAAGUCAUGAGGAGGAAGCACCGAUUCCGCUUACCUCCGGUUUUCGAGGCCAGAGACCUUUUCAACACUCCAGGACCAAGAGCCGGCAAUCCGCUGGAGGGAAACCGAGCAGAAGCCCCUGGGAUCGGUGCACCGGUUCAGCCUCGUCAGAUGGACCCGCCUCGUCAAAACACCAUUGUACCUCAGGCUGCUUUAACACCUCCGGGUCACUACUCCAACCCAAUGGACAAUCUUGUUGCCACUGCUGCACGGCUGGAGGCCAUUCCAAUUGAAGGUGACUCGCCGCAGGCAGUAGAGACACGACGGGUCAAGGAACUUCCGAGGACAGCUUUGUCCCAACAGGAAGCGUACUCAUACAGCCGCGAUCGGAUCCACUCGACCCCCCGUCCAAGCCGGAGCUAUAGCAGACACAUGGAUGAACCGACAGUGUCAAGUAAUGAACGGUGUGGGGCACCCCGUGACAACAACCCGGCGGGUGGUGCUGAUGACGCUCAGGGAGUGGUGGACCGGGCCCGCGCACGCAGGGAGGCCGAGUUAGCCACACAGCAUCAGGCUCGGCAGCUCACGCCGGUUCGUCCAACCACCUUGACUGAACCUGGUGUUACUUCUAGUUCUUUGGGGGUGCCUUGCCUUAUCCCCGCUUUAUGCAACGUGCGCCUGCCCAAGGAUUUCAAAGGCCCACGCAAGGUACCAAAUUACACGGCGGAUCAACCUCCAGAGACAUGGGUGGAGAGCUAUGAGAUGGCCAUGGAGAUGCUUGAUGUGGAUGACGCGGCGUGUGCGAAAUACUUCACCAUGAUGCUCGAAGGAACGACCCAUACUUGGUUAAAAAGCUUGCCGGCUAAUUCUAUCAGUUCAUGGGCCCAAUUACGAGCCCGGUUUAUCAGCAAUUUCAAAGAUACCUGUAAACAGCCUAUGUCGAUAGUGGACUUAGCUGCAUGCGUCCAGGAGGAAGGAGAAUCAACGACUCAUUGGGUGCGCCGGGUUUCACAAGUGUUGCACUCCUCAUACCGCAUCAACGCUGACACCGCAGUAUUAACCCUAGAAGGCAACUGCCGGUUUGGACCCCUGAAGCUGAAGUUGGGACGGAUGAAGCGUCAUUGCACCGACAUGGGGACCCUCAUGGCCGCUUUGGUGAAAUAUGCUGAUUCUGAUAGCACCAAGGAUCCCGAAUCUGAUGAUGACAAGACAGGGAAAGGGAAGAAGAACAACAGCUCCAAAGGUCAGCAUCAUCACUAGGCAGGCAAUGGUGGAAGAGGCAAGCGUAAAGCGGAUGGUAACAUGGACUUUGUGGCUAAUACCAACGCACAGGACAAUGGCCAACGAUGCAAGGGUAGGCCAAAAAAUCAUAAUGGAGCGCCCAACCCUAACCCAAACCGCCUAAACUAUCUGCUAAGCCAGCCCUGUCCAAGACAUGGGACGAAGGAGGCGCCGGCAAACCACCUUUGGAAAGAUUGCUUUAUUAUGCAGGAGUUCAAGAAUUCUAAUAAUUUCCGGUAUGAUCACGAAUCUGGCGGAGGCUCGGGAUCCGGGCCGGGUUACGGAGGAGGAAGUUCCGUUUCAGGAUUCAAUGGUAAUCCGGGAGGACAUAAUGGUCAAAAUAGUCAGAACAACCAGGGUGGUUACAACCAACAGCAGCAACAGUCAGGUUACCAGAGCAACCCAAAGCAGUUGAGUAAUGGGCAGUACCAUGUCUUCACCACUAGCUUGGACAAGCGAGACCGGAAAGUUCAGAGGCGGGCGGUCAACUCUGUUGAACCGGCCAUACCCCGUUAUCUACGUUGGUCUGAACAACCAAUCAUAUGGAGCAGAGAAGAUCACCCUCCCCAGAUCGAUAAUCCUGGUCAGUUGGCUUUGGUGGUGGCGCCUUAGGUGGGAGGUUACAAGUUCACCAAGGUGCUCAUGGAUGGAGGGAGUAGCAUUAACAUCCUGUACUAUGAGACCUUCCGUCGUAUGGGACUAACAGAUAAGAAUCUCAAACCGUCUAAUACAGUAUUCCACGGUGUAGUGCCUGGCAGAUCAGCAUAUCCCGUUGGUAAGAUAGCUCUGGAAGUGGCCUUUGGGGAUGAUCAUGAUUCCAGGUCGGAGAUAUUGACGUUUGAAGUGGUGAAAAUCCAAAGUCCAUAUCAUGCCCUGUUUGGGCGACCGGCCUAUGCCAAGUUUAUGGCUCGGCCCUGUUAUGUGUAUUUGCAGCUCAAGAUGCCGGGUCACAAGGGGACAAUAACGGUUCACGGAAGCCGCAAAAUCGCUUUGGAAUGCGAGGAAGGAGAUGCGGCUUAUGCAGAGUCGGUUUGUGCCACCGAGGAGUUGAAGUACUAUAAAGACAAUGUUGAUCCGGCGGACAUGACUCCGUUGAAGAAGCCAACUACGGAGCAUGAUCCGGCCCUGAAGUUCAAAUUGGCAGCAGAAACUAAGCUUGUUGACUUCGUACCUGGUGAAUCGUCCAAGCAGUUCAGCAUCAGUGCCAACUUGGAUCCGAAAUAGGAAAGCGCGCUCAUCGAGUUCAUCCGUGAGAAUCGGGACAUUUUUGCAUGGAAGCCCUCUGACAUGCCAGGUGUACCGAGACAACUCGCUGAGCACACACUUAAUGUGGAUCCUAAAUAUAAACCGGUGAAACAGUUCCUCCGCCGGUUUAACAAAGAAAGACGCAAGGCAAUUGGAGAAGAGGUAGCCAGGCUCUUAGCAGCUGGCUUUAUUGUUGAAGUUUUUCACCCUGAGUGGCUUGCCAAUCCGGUGCUGGUCCUCAAGAAAAACGGCACCUGGCGCAUGUGUGUGGAUUACACAGAUCUUAAUAAGGCUUGUCCAGCAGAUCCUUUUGCUCUCCCCCGUAUUGAUCAAAUUAUUGAUGCUACGGCGGGCUGUGAGCGUUUAAGUUUUUUGGAUGCGUAUUCUGGCUAUCAUCAGAUCAAAAUGGCAGUUAAGGACCAGGAGAAGACGCCAUUUAUAACUCCCUUUGGAGCCUUCUGCUAUGUGUCUAUGCCCUUCGGGCUCAAGAGUGCCCAAGCGACUUACCAACGGUGUGUACAAAAUUGUAUUCACAAGCAGAUUGGCCGUAAUGUACAUGCUUUCGUAGAUGAUAUCGUGGUUAAGUCCAGGAAGAAGGAGACUCUGAUUGAUGAUUUGAAGGAAACCUUUGAUAACCUGAGGACAUACAAGAUGAUGCUUAAUCCGGACAAGUGUGUCUUUGGUGUACCGGCGGGCAAGUUAUUAGGCUUCUUGGUGUCCAAUAGGGGAAUUGAGGCUAAUCCGGAGAAGAUCACAACCAUCACCUCCUCGCUAAACCGAAGUGUAUCAAUGAUGUUCAGCGCCUGGCAGGCCGGAUUGCUGCGUUAAGCCGGUUUAUCAAUCGCCUCGGUGAGAAGGCAAUCCCUUUGUAUCAGAUGUUGAAAAAGACGGAUCAGUUUGUCUGGAGUUCUGCUGCUGAUGAAGCAUUUGAGGACUUAAAACGGCAAUUGGCCAAUCCGCCUGUGCUCGCUGCUCCCAUUGACAAGGAGCCGUUGCUGCUAUAUGUUGCUGCUAAUGCUCGAGCGGUCUGCGUGGCUAUUGUGGUAGAGCGAAAGGAGGCAGGUAAGGAGCAUCCGGUUCAACGUCCGGUCUAUUAUAUCAGUGAGGUGCUCAUUGAGUCCAAGCAAAGGUAUCCGCAUUGGCAGAAGCUGGUGUAUGGAGUUUUUAUGGCAAGCCGGAAGCUUAAACAAUACUUCCAAGGGCAUCCAAUUACAGUGGUCAGUUCUGCUCCUUUGGGAGAUAUCAUCCAGAACUAGGAAGCAACUGGCCGGAUUGCAAAGUGGGCUAUAGAGCUGGGGCCGUACGAUUUGAAGUAUGUGCCUCGGACAGCGGUUAAGUCUCAAGCACUUGUUGAUUUCAUCAAUGACUGGACGGAAAUGCAAGCACCUGAAGAAAAGCCGGAUCAUACGUAUUGGACCAUCCAUUUUGACGGAUCCAGGCAAUUGGAAGGCUCGGGGGCUGGAGUCGUAUUAACCUUCCCACGAGGUGAUAAGUUUUGUUAUGUUCUCCACUUAAUGUUCCCUUGUACUAACAAUGCAGCUAAGUAUGAAGCCUUGCUCCAUGGUCUCCGGAUUGCUAAGGAGAUGAAUCUAAGUCGAGUUAAGUGCUUCGGUGACUCGGACCUUGUGGCUCAGCAGGUGUCUAGCACUUGGGACUCCAAGGACCCACUCAUGGCAGCAUAUCGUCGUGAGGUGGAUAUUGUUGUAGGUUAUUUCAGAGGCUAUCAGGUGGACCACGUGGACCGGCGGAAAAAUGAAGCAGCGGAUGCUUUAAGCCGGCUGGGCUCUCAGCGCAAACCGGUCCCGCCCAAUGUUUUUCUGGAUGUGCUGCACAACCCAUCGGUGAAGAUCCCUGGUGAAGAGGAUUUGGCUAUUUCUGAUCCGGAGGCUCAAUUGGUGGCAGCUCUUCAUGUUAUUCCGGAUUGGAUGCUUCCUUACCUGGCGUACAAGAACCGGGGCGAGUUGCCAGAGGAUGAGAUUCUGGCCCGGCAGAUAAUCCGGCGAUCCAAGUCCAUGGCUAUCAUCAACGACGAGUUGCAUCAUUGCAGUGUAUCAGGAGCUUUUCAACAUUGCGUGUCCCCUGAAGAAGGCCGUGAAAUUUUGCGUGAGAUCCACGAAGGAGAUUGUGGUCACCAUGCCGGUUCAAAGUCUCUAGUGGCUAAAGCGUUUCGCCAUGGCUUCUAUUGGUUAACUGCUCAUGCUGAUGCGGAGGAUCUGGCCAGACGAUGUGAUGGUUGCCAAAGGUUUUCAAGACGUGCUCAUGUACCGGCUCAAGAAUUGAGAAUGAUUCCAAUUACUUGGCCGUUUGCGACUUGGGGGCUGGAUAUGGUUGGGCCUUUCAAAAGGUCCAAAGAUAAGAAGACCCACCUCCUGGUGGCGGUUGACAAGUUUACAAAGUGGGCGGAGGCAGAACCUGUUAGCAACUGUGAUGCGGCCACGACAUUUCAGUUCAUCAAAAAGGUGAUUUUCCGGUUUGGCUUUCCGCACAAUAUUAUCACAGAUAAUGGUACCAAUUUGUCCAAAGGUGCUAUGAAGGAGUUCUGCGAACGGGAGCACAUCCGGCUCGACGUUUCAUCAGUGGCACAUCCACAGUCCAAUGGUCAAGCAGAAAGAGCUAAUCAAGAGAUCCUGAGAGGCAUCAAGCCCCGGCUCAUGGUUCCUUUGCAGAGAACACCGGGUUGUUGGGUAGAAGAAUUACCAUGUGUGCUAUGGAGCAUCAAUACAAUACCCAACAGAUCAACAGGAUACACACCGUUCUUCAUGGUUUAUGGAGCGGAGGCGGUUCUCCCCAGUGAUAUCCGUCAUGAUUCACCUCGUGUAACGACUUAUAUUGAAGCGGACAACGAGACAACACGGCAAGAUGCUUUGGACCGGUUGGAUGAAGAGCGUGACAUUGCAGCCGCCCGAUCGGCGAUUUACCAGCAGGAUCUUCGUCGUUAUCAUAGUCGCCGAGUCCGAGCCAGAACCUUUCAGGAGGGAGAUUUGGUGCUUCGGCUCAUCCAAGAUCAGACUGGUAUGCAUAAAUUAUCCCCACCUUGGGAAGGGCCUUUCAUGGUCAGCAAGAAUCUGCAUAACGGGUCAUACUAUCUGAUCGAUAUUCGAGAACAUAAGGACUCACGUACAUCAGAGGAGGAGACCAACAGGCCGUGGAACAUAGCUCAUCUUCGGCCUUAUUAUACCUGAGCCAUUGGUUCUACUUAUGUACAUAUUACAGCGAUGUAUAUAUUAACUAUAAUAAACCGGAACCUCAGCUAAAGCGGGGUAUCUGUUCUUUUACAUCAUGUGUGGUUACGCGGAGUUGUUUUAAAGCGGCUUCCAGUUUACCCCUUGAGUUUGCUUUGCUAAAAGCAUCGUAUUAUAUCACUUGGAGGAUUGGUCGUGUCCGAACCAAUACCAUGCCUCUUGAUAGGCGAGAGCCACCAGAUCACUUGGGGACUUGGUCAUGUCUGAACCAGUCAUGCCUCUUGAUCGGCCUAAGGCCACAGAAUCACUUGGGGGCUUGGUCGAACCCGAACCAUGACCAUGCCAUUUGGUCGGCAUAAAUGCCACGGUUUCAUUUGGGGACCUGGCUGACUAGAACCAUAGUUACACCUAACGGGAGCUUGGUCGUGUUUGGCCAUGGUAACGCCAUUUGAUCAGCUUAAAUAAACCUUUUUUGGCAAACGGUUUUGUCAUUGCUUUUUUCUUCACACUUUUCUUUGAAGGUUUUUUUUGCUUUUUAUUGCGUUUUUAAACCGACAAAGUUUUUUAACCAAUCAAUUGACGGAACACAGUUCACGUCAAUCCGGAGACUAUUUGCCCGGUUUGAUCCUUGUUGUUAACAUCCUCUUAUGGAGUAACACGGUGUUUAUUAUAACCCGACAUGGUUUACAUGGUAAACCAGCGUCAUAUAUAUAUACAGGAGCUGUUAUCUCCUCCAAUAGUGUGGGUUUGCAAAACUCCGCUUCAAGAUUGGCCAAGCCAACUUCACACUCAACGAUGGCAGGUAUUAUGUAUCUCAAAAAUUUGAUCAUAUAUUUAAAAUUUCGUUUUGGAUGUUUUGACAUCAUAUUCCGCCUGACGGUACAACCGCGGUGGCACUUGACGAAUUUAUCAUUUUAGAAAGUAUUUUGGAAAGUUCAUUACCACAGGAAGAACAAAUUAUGCACGAAGGCAUAUCAACAUCAAAGGUAUCAGCUAGCCUAUUACAAGGCAACAUGGUGCCCAUAAUAAUAUAAUUGUUUUUCACAAAGGAGAGGCAGUUUUAAAACCGGCUUCCGGUUCAAGCUUGGUCACCAGCCUGGCCUGAUGGUUGUGGGUCAUCCUGCGCUGCUUCAGCCUCCGUUUCUCUAGCCAGUGGCUGGAAAUCCACAGUUGUCCAGUUGAUUCCCAUUAAUGCUUGAAAAACAGCUUCAUCAUGGAUCAGCAAUGACGGGUCAAUAUCGGGAGCAUAAGUAUGCUUACGUAUUGGAGGGAUCAGAUUUUCCGAUUCAUGGAUUGUUGCAGCUAUUUGCUUGUUCUGACUGUCAUAUUGCACUUGAUAAUGAGACAAGUCUGCUUCCUCAGCCAACUGACAAGCUAGCGGACAUACCUCCCGGUUUAUUGCUCGCAGAUCCGCUUCACCAAAUUCUGACCCGUCUUCCUUCAAGCUGGGAUAGCCCUGAUCCGCUUCAAUAGGAUCAAAAUCCGGCACCCAGGCUUUUGCCCGGAUUAAGGCAUUGAUUGCACCGGUUCGAGCAGCAGAUUUCUUCAGCUCUUCAACCCGGGCAGGAAGCACUGACAGUUUCAUCAGAGUAUCUUGAAUCAAAGUGGGCGCCGGUUUGUUAUGAGACGCGGUACAGAUGAUCCGUUGGGCACCAGUAUACAAUUGUUCAACCAAUGUAUAGGAGGCUUUCAAUUUCUUCCGCACAUCUGACCCCAAGUGACCAAUGCAUGUCCCUAAAAUACCAUAAAGGGUUAAUAAACCGGUGACUCUGUAAGAAGGCAGAGACGAUUCAGAAGGCAAGCUGGCUUACCAAAGAUAGCAAUGGUCAUGGCAUGCACGUGCCACUUUAUGCUGGUCAGUUCAUCCGUCACUGGUUUUAGUGCAGCCUCAGCAUCCUCUGCUCGUUUGAUCAAAGCGGACUUUUCAGUGGCCCAAUCCGCCCGUUUCUUCUUGAAGUUCUCCUUAAGUUGUUCCAUGGCGCUUAAAGCGCUCGCCAAUUCCUCUUUUGCUUUGGAGGUUUCAGCCUGUUGGGUUUUCAGGUUUUCUUGAAGAUCGAUGACUUGGUUUUCUUUCGUCUUCAGCUCCGCCUGCAUGUAUACAGAUAUAUGCUUCAACAAAUCGGUAUAAGGAUUCAAGCACCAACCACGUAACAAGUUAUGCGCUUAGCACUUGGGGGCUAAUGCAUAUUCGAUCUUCAUCUUUCAAUUGUUUACAAAGUCCCAAGAUCAAUACAAGUAUUCAGCUUGGCACUUGGGGGCUAAUGGCUAUUUGAUCAUAUAUAUUCUGAUGCGGCAGUUUCAAUUACUUAAAGUACCAGUUUAACUACGCUAAGUUGAACCGGCCCUUGGGGGCUACGUCAGCGAAUUUCAAAGCAUCAAGAUUUAUAUUAUUAAGUCCCGGUUUGAAAGAAUAUUUCAAACCGGCCCUUGGGGGCUAGGAGAGUCAGCAAGAAUGGAAGCAUACAAGCAGGAAGGAGCAUAUGGAAGUUACCUCAUAUUUAUCUUUCAUCAUAUUAACCAGACCGGCUUCAUAGUCACGACUGGUAUACAGCCGGUUCAGAUAGCCGGAAUGGAUAUCUUGGGCGUUCAGGCAGCGUAAGUCGUCAGAUCAGUGUUCCACUUGCCUUUGCCAAAGGUAGCAAAUUCUUCCUUGGCAGAAUGUUUGGAUAAAGCGACAGGAUUCCUUGGCUCAGUAUGGCCAGUGCCAGUAAUGACAACCUCAUCAUCCUUGGUACCGCCGGUUUGCACUGGAGCUGUUGGCUUGUCAGUAGGUUUUGCUGGACCGGUGGAGCUUUCAAUCCGGAUGGAACCUGUGGGCUGAUGGAUAGGACCUGAGGUAUCAGUAGGUCUCUCUUCAGCAAUAAGAUCAUCAUCUUGCUGCGGUGGAUCGUUGGGAAUAUCCUCAGGAAUAGCCGCUUCAGCAUUGGGUGUCUUGCCUGCUUCAAGAACGACAUCUUCUUCGGUCGUUUUGUCCAGGCGGGCCUUCUUGCUUGGCCUAGGUUUAGCCCUGAGAAGAAUAAUAAAUCAAAUACAACAUAUGUUCUAAGGCGAUGUACUGCAAACAUCACAAUAAGUAUAGCUUACCCAAUCACCGUUUUAAGUGGUGGGAGCUGAGUAGCCGAUGACUCGCCAGAAGAUGAGUGGGAAGUAACCUGGUAAUCGGAGUCAGAAGGAUUAAGAGGUUGACGAAAGCAGCCCGCUUUAGGACAAGCACUGACAAGCAAAUUAGAGACCUCUGAAUGGCGUUUCCGAACCGGACUAUUCGGUAAACCGGCGGAGGUAACUACCUGGCCGCUGUGCCGGGUUGUGCGACGAGCUUCGUGUUGUUGGGUCUUCAUAAGAAAUUUAGGAUCCAAAUAAGCAAGAGGAUGAGAAAAUUUAACUUUCCAGUUUGCCUGGCAGAUUUUUUGUGAAGGCAAAGUUUCUAAAUCGGAAGAGAGAAUAGUUACCUCUGCAACAUCCGCGUGGCUGGCUUCGGCACCAUCCUGACAAAUAUCAUCAUCAAUAAGACGCAUGAAAUAUAAACCAAGUGAGUCAAGCUCUACCUCAAAGUCCAGAUUAUCCACAUCAUCAUUAGGGGACGGAUUAGAAGAUGCAGUGGUUCUUUUCCUGUGGGCAGUCUUCUUCACAGCUUUAGUCUUUUGCCGGGUUGCUCUUUCCGGUUUGUCUGGUUUUUCUGGUUUCUCCUGCGGCAGUUUUUUGCUCCAAAAUGGAUCAUUGCCCUGAUUAUGCAGACACUGAUAUUAAACAAUGACCAGACAUAUCAAUAACAGAUUCAGCAAAGAGAAAAAUCAAAAUCUUACAGCUGGUGGUUUGUUGGUGGCACAGAAGGGAAGCAUGCCGGUUCUAGCGCAGACGUGUUCCGUUUCAUUUAGCAUCUUAUUUACAGCCUCUGUGAUUUCUUCAUCGGAGAGCUGGAUUUUUGAAUGUCGCAGUGGGUCAUCAACAUUGUCAGUAUACUCGCACAUCAAACCGGAGCGCUGACUAAGGGGCAGUAUGCUCCAUGAUAUCCAACAGCGAGCGAGAUCAACCCCUGUUAAACCGUUGGCCAUAAAGGCUCUAAGCUUUGACAGUUGGGGAGCAUAUUUGCUUCUCUCCUGGGCAGUCAAUCUUUGAGGAAAAGGGUGUGUAUUGCUGAGCCGCUCCGGACGAAAGCCAGGCAAGGGAUUCUCACCAGCAGGGGAGGUGUCUUUGCAGUAGAACCAUGUCUGAUUCCACUCCUUGGGGUGACUGUGCAGCUUGGCGUGAGGGUAUGUGACCUCUUUCCUUUUCUGAAUCGCCACGCCACCCAACUCUGUAUUAGAGCCAUCAUUAAACUCAGUACGGCGGUUUAGAUGGAAAAGGUCUCUGAACAAUUCCACUGUGGGCUCCUCUUGAAAGAACACCUCACAGAGCACUUGGAAGUGACACAUAUUUGUAACAGAGUUGGGGCCAGUGUCUUGCGGAUGGAGUUGGAAAUCGGCUAAAACAUCCCGGUAAAAUUUAGAACCAGGCGGCUUAAAGCCCCGGGCUAGGUGAUCUACGAAAACAACAACCUCUCCUUCUCGAGGUGUGGGAGGGCAUUCUUUUCCAGGAGUCCUCCAAUGGAUGGUGUCUUUGCUGCUUAAAGCGCCAAUCAGGACUAAAUCGUCCAGUUGAUCCUCUGUGACACGAGAAGGAACCCAAUUGCACUCAUAUACUUGCUUGGCCAUGAUGGAAUCUGCAAGGUAGAAGGUCUCGGUUCAAAAAUGCAUUUGAUCAAGGUACGUUGGUAUGUGCACUGUUAAACCGGAGACAGAACUAUCUGAACCGGAGUUUCAUGAAGCAACCAACAUCUGGCGGUUCAACAAGGGGACUAAUGCAUAUACCGGUUUGGACAAUUUUCUAUAAGGUUAAACCACCUAAUCUAAGCAUUGAAAAGUUGAGAUUGCGGAUGGACAAGUACGCAGAAACAGGUUUCACAAGAUUUCUUUACAGCAUUGGAUCUGAAGCAAGUUCAGAAAAUAGAUAAAUGCUUAGAGGUUCAAAGGAGCAGUACUGAACCAAUGAGCAAAACGUUCAUAUAGAUCUAUGGUUUGAGAUGCAUAAGUGAAGGCGAAGGUCAAACAACUAUCGUUGCACAGAGUAAAGAUUUGCAGAUUCAUCUAAAGAUCUAUCAUAUGAGCAACAUGCAGACGAUGAACACUGACGAACUGCGAAACCCUAGGCCAGAUCUGCGGGGGAAAGGAUAGAAGAUUUACUGGAUCUGAGGAAGAUGCGGAAGGUUGCCGCGAUGUUCUGGUGCGCUCAGGUUGAUGCAGCGGCCAAGGAUGAGGCAGAGGUCGACGGCGGCGGCGGAGCUCCGAGGCUGGCGACGCGAGGAAGACGAAGAAGGCACGGAAGGAGAAAAGAAAUGACCCUUCGGUCCUAUUUAUAAGGCGAAAGAACAUGAGUCAGGCGCGACAAUCAAGGGGCCACAAACCGGAGCUGUCGCCUCGAUUUCUGCCGAUCUAUUAAACAAAGAAGCAUAAUGGAUAGCUUCGUUAUGAUAGGUGACGUCACUCCGGUUUACAGCAAUCAGAGAAGAUGACAUCAUGGUGGUUUACCAAUUUAUAAAAAGAUGUUGAAAAUGAAGCUUUUAUUAAAGGAUUGACAUGAACCCGUUCAAAUCAAUCUGGAGCCUAAUGUUGGGGAUAUUACUACUAGGCGUAAACCGGCCUAUCUGGGCCAGGUUAACUUCGUCAGUAGUUAAGUAUGUUAAAGCCCAAGAAGACAGAGGAGGGCUCAAGGCCCAUGGUCGGUUCAAGGCCUUUAGCCGUAAACCGGCGUUAGUAGUUAACCUGUAUUGUAAGUUAGGAAUAAGUAGAGACCAAACCGGACACAUUUAUGAGCCGGUAUUGGGACUCCGUAAGCCGACGGGAGUCACCCGUGUAUAUAAGGGGACGACCCGGCAGCGGUUCAAGGACAACAGACAGCAACUAGAGACAUAGGCGAAGCUUGUUGGCUCCCUAGUCAUCGAAACCCCAUCAAUUCCAUAACAACUAGACGUAGGCUUUUACCUUCAUCGAAGGGGCCGAACUAGUAUAAACUCUCUUGCGUCCUUGUGUCCGCUUUAACCCCUUCAAGCUAACCCGUCGUGAUGGCUCCACGAUUAAGUCCUUUCUCUAGGACAUCUGCCGUGACAAAACCACGACACCACCGGUCAUCGGAGCGGCAGGCGGAGGGAGGCGAAUCCACGGGUUCGCCGACGGAGAUCGAGGGGAGGAAGGCUUUCCCAAGUCACCUUGGGAGAGAGGAAAAAAGCUUAUCCCUAAGUGAUCCUUGCGGCCUCCAAGGAGCAAAACUUUUACUUGCCUCGACUCUCAAAUAUACUCGGCUGCCCAUCCGUGGAGUAUAAUUUUCCUCUCCACCCCGUGCCAGCACCCUCCCCACCCCGCUCUGCAUCGUCAAUAACUUUGCCUCUAGAGACCACCCUUUGCCUCUGCCAAGACCCCGUCGCCUGCACCGCCCGCCCACCACACUCUGAGACGCUCACUAGUAGUUUUCGUCGCCGAAAUCAAGCUCUGUCGCUGCCACACUGCAUCGAUCACGUCAUCGGAAGCACACACCACAUCUUCUUCCUCCGAGCCCCUCCGUCGACUGCCAGGCAUCUCGAAGCCCCAUCGACCAAUAGCAGCUUGGGCAUCGGCUCAAUGCUGUCAGCCGACCAUGACUCCUCUUCAGUCCUUCAAGUGUUCGGAGGAUUGCCUAGGUGAGUCUGUGCUUUUUCAUCUUUUUUUCCUUUUAGCAAUUAAAUUGGACCUAGUCAUUUCAACUAUAGAUGAAGAGGUUGAGGGAGAUGAUCUUCGACGAGUCCUUGUCAUGGUUGAAAUGUUGUACGUAAAUUAAAACUAGGAAGGUUUGACGAAAACAAUCUUAGGGAGUUAAGUUUAGAAGAUCGGCUAGGAUCCGUCAUUUUUUGGAGGAGCAAAUAUAAGGAGUUAAAGAAUAAGGGGCCAUUUAAGGGCCUAAAUUAUAAAGGAUCAUGCUCUUAGCUCAUCCUUCACCGAGUUGCAAAGUUAAGCUUCACAUAGGGAAACAGUCACAUGGAGUUUCUGCUCCUAAUCUCAAAUGCAUCUCAUGGAUAGUAGAAUAAAAAAACAGUUCUGAUUAUUUUGACAACAAAUAUUAUUGAAUGUUCUACAUACGUGCAAAACUCCGUGAAUAAAAACAUUUCUAAUACUUUUGUAAAAAUCGAUGCUCAAAAGACUAUUUCUGAAAGCAUUUUGGAGUACUAAUUUUGAAUUCUGAUUUGAUGCUGAUGAAGUGUUUGUGUAGCCAUAUUUGUUGGCUCUUUUCGGAUCAUGGCGGUUGGUGUGUCUAUCAAGGGAAGCAAUUAAGUGGUUAUUGAUGCAGUGGCGUUUGCAUAUUCUUUCAUGGUAUUCUAUGGCAUGGUCUGGUUUCUGCAACUCUCUGGACCGGUGAUGCUUGAUUGCGGGUCUGUACUGCAUGGGGUGAUUCUCUAACCGAUGUUUCUUCAACGACUUCUAGAUCUAUUUUUUUGCGGGAGCCUAGUAAGGCCAGGGCGUUUGUAGGCGUCCCUUUUCUCUACCGUUGGUUCAAUGCAAUUUUAAUUCUCCGGUGACGGUAAUCGAUUGGAGGAAGAAAGGGCCAGUAUUAUUUUCCAUGUAAUUUUAUUUUUUACUUGUCAUUCUACGUCUAGUUGUCUUUCAAUUGUACUAGUUUUUUUACUUGAUAAUUAUUAGAUCUAAUAUGCCCUUUGACCGUCUUUCUUUCGAACAUAUUCGAUAUCCUUGGAGUAUACGUCAAGUCUUUGGCGGAGUCUGAUAUGAUCACAUGCAUAAUGUCUGUGGAUUCCAGAGUCCUUCCUUGAUUGUGGGCCAUCAGUUCGACCCAUGGACUAGACCAGCUUGGCUAGGACCCCCCAAUCUAGGACACCGUCACCCUGGCAACGAGCCAGGGUGGCCAGAUCACGGGAACAAUUACGACGCCCGACAAUGCUUAAUCCAUGGCUCGCAUCUAGCAAGCGGGAGAAGUAAGCCACCGCACCCACACAUGGCACACUGGUUCUGUUUGGGCAGACCUUUUUUGGCACGCGGCGGGUGUGUAGGCGUGCUAGGAGAGUUAUAGCAGUGUAAAGGGUGAUCCACCCCGUCUCCUACCAAACAGUGGACUCCUGUUUUAGUGUGUGUCAUACUAACACCAGGUAAAAACCCUAAGCGGUUGUGAUAAGAUGUGUGUCUGUUCCCGGAGGCCAUAAGAUGGUGACACAUAGCUCAGCAUUCAAUGCACUCACCUAACUUAUCAAAGUUAGGUAUUGACUUGAUACCUAAUGUGGUACCCCUUGCACUAUAAAAGGAUGGCUAAGCUACAAAUAAAAGGGUUGGACACCUGGUAAAAUACACUCAGUAGCUUCAAAGCAGUAUUUUGAAAGGUUUGUAGCUCGUAGUCCACCACAUAAACAAAGAACACACAGGCAAGAGAUGGGUAUUACGCAACCAUGUGGCCCAAACCUGGGUAAACCGAGCGUGCUUUAAGUUUAUUUUCUGUUGUUAGUGUUGCUCCACGCUUUGUGCCCCACACACCGAAUAGGUAGAGAGACACCUUUAUGUCCUUGGUGUUUUGCAUGUGUUCUGCACACAUGCAAGGAUAAAGAUGAUAUCCUUCAAAGCGAUCUUUGGAGGAACACACCUAUAUGAGCCCGACUGCUAGUCACAGUCUAUAAGAUUUGGGUGAUCUCUUCUAAGUUCAUGAAAAGGCCAUGGGUGUGUCUAAUAUGCUCCACCCGAGGGGUUAGCCUUUGUUACCCUUGUACCGGUAAGAAAUUUGGUGAAACUCUCCUUUACGCCAAACUCGCAAUUCAAGGUAUAGUCCAUUGUUCAGUUUGUGAAGGAGUGUAUCUACUUUCUCUAGGAUGGAUGUUCAACCUUAACAGGUCUCCAUUGAAAAUACUGGUAUAUCAAAACAACAUUUGGAGCAGAAGAAAAUACAAGGCCUUCGGGAUUUGGUGGGGGAUUGUUGAAAUAUGGGGUGGGCUUUAGGCCCAUCCAACAAUUUUAGAAAAAUCUCUAAGGUCCCAUAUAGGUGUCACGACAAGGGAAGUUGUGGAAGUUUAAUACCUCCCCAGAUUUGGAGAAAGAGUUGAACCUAUUUAUAUGGUUCUUAUUUAACAUGUUAUUGGAUCUUGAGAAUGGUUCCCAUGCGAUCCUCCUCCACCGCCCACCUCGCUUCGCCUCACCUCGUGCACGCGUGCGUCAUGCUUGUGAAUGAGCCGAGUUGAGCUCAGACCUAUGACAUGUGUUCGUUUAUUCUUGUCGGUCAGAAAUGGAGAGUCCAUAAUAGACACACCAUGAAUCUGAGGCAUUAGUUUGGCUGUCACUGACUCAGACGUGGAUCCAUCCCAUGCCCUCCUACCUGAUGGCGCAUAUAUAGUAGGGCUUCAACAACCCUAGUCAUGACCAAAAGAGAUAAGAUCACACCGCCCACAGUCGUUCCUCUUGACGCUGAUGCCUGUGAUCCCAACCCGUCCACCACGUGUACGGUUCAUGAGAGAGGAGGCCUCUGAAACCCCGCUUCUUGAGAUCCUGCAUGGGAGAGGGCCGAUUAGGUUUUUUUGGGGGGCAUCUCCUACGUGACUGCUAGCCACCGAUCGUCUACUUCGUCUAUGACUGUGUAUCCUUUGUUACCACCAUGGAGUGAAGGAAAUAUGCCCUAGAGGCAAUAAUAAAGUUGUUAUUUAUAUUUCCUUAUAUCAUGAUAAAUGUUUAUUAUUCAUGCUAGAAUUGUAUUAACUGGAAACUUGAUACAUGUGUGGAUACAUAGACAAAACACAGUAUCCCUAGUAAGCCUCUACUAGACUAGCUCGUUAAUCAAAGAUGGUUAAGUUUCCUAACCAUAAACAUGUGUUGUCAUUUGAUGAACGUGAUCACAUCAGUAGGAGAAUGAUGUGAUGCACAAGACCCCAUUCCUUUGACUAUGAGAUUAUGCAACCCCCGAAUACCGAAAGAAUACCUUGUGUGCUAUCAAACGUCACAACAUAACUGGGUGAUUAUAAAGAUGCUCUACAGGUAUCUCCGAAGGUGUUUGUUGGGUUGGCAUAGAUCGAGAUUAGGAUUUGUUACUCUGAGUAUCGGAGAGGUAUCUCUGGGCCCUCUCGGUAAUGCACAUCAUGAUAAGCCUUGCAAGUAAUGUGAAUAAUGAGUUAGUUGCGGGAUGAUGCAUUACAGAACGAGUAAAGAGACUUGCCUGUAACGAUAUUGAACUAGGUAUGAAGAUACCGACGAUCGAAUCUCAGGCAAGUAACAUACAAAUGACAAAGGGAAUGACGUAUGUUGUCAUUACGGUUUGACCGAUAAAGAUCUUCGUAGAAUCUGUAGGAACCAAUAUGAGCAUCCAGGUUCCACUAUUGGUUAUUGACCGGAGCGGUGUCUCGGUCAUGUCUACAUAGUUCUCGAACCCGCAGGGUCCGCACACUUAACAUUAGAUGACGAUUUGUAUUGUAUGAGUUAUGUGAUUUGGUGACCGAAUGUUUUUCGGAGUCCCGGAUGAGAUCACAGACAUGACGAGGAGUCUCGAAAUGGUCGAGAGGUAAAGAUUUAUAUAUUUUAUGAUAGUAUUCAGACACCGGAAGUGUUUCAGAAUGUAUCAUGCACAUAUUGGAGUACCGGGAGGGUUACCGGAACCCCCUGAUGGUAGCUGGAACUACGUCGGUAUUUCCCCAAAGAGGGAGGGAUGAUGUAGCACAGUGAAGGUAGAGUAUUUCCCUCAGUUAUGAAACCAAGGUAUUGAACCAGUAGGAGAACCAAGCAACACAACAUAACGCAACCUGACGUGUUAAAGGGGUUGUCAAUCCCUUUCGGGUAACAGCGCCAGAAAUUGGUGCGUGACGGUAAAAAGGUUGUAAUAGAUUGGAUCAAUAGAUCAAAAAUAAAAUAAAGUGCAUCAAACUAUUUUUUUAUUUUUGGUUUAAUAGAUCUGAAAGUAAAAGCAAGGAAAAACUAGAUCGCAAAGGCAAAUAUAUGAGAAAUAAGACCCGGGGGCCGUAGGUUUCACUAGUGGCUUCUAUCGAGAAAAAUAACAAAUGGUGGGUGAUGAUCCACAAGUGUAGGGCAUCUAUUGUAGCCUUUUCGAUAAGUAAGAGUGUCGAACCCACUGAGGAGCAGAAGGAAAUGAUAAGCGGUUUUGAACAAGGUAUUUUCUGCAAGCACUGAAAUUAUCGGUAACAGAUAGUUUUGUGAUAAGGUAAUUUGUAAUGGGUAGCAAGUAAUAAAAGUAAAUAAGAUGCAGAAAGAUGGCUCAAUCCUUUUUGUAGCAAAGGACAAGCCUGGACAAACUCUUAUAUGAAGGAAAGCGCUCCCGAGGACACAUGAGAAUUAUCGUCAAGCUAGUUUUCAUCACGCUCAUAUGAUUCGCGUUCGGUACUUUGAUAAUUUGAUAUGUGGGUGGACCGGUGCUUGGGUACUGUCCUUCCUUGGAAAAGCAUCGCACUUAUGAUUAACCACUAUUGCAAGCAUCCGCAACUACAACCGACGUAUUAAGGUAAAACUAACCAUAACAUGAAACAUAUGGAUCCAAAUCAGUCCCUUACGAAGCAACGCAUAAACUAGGGUUUAAGCUUCUGUCACUCUAGCAACCCAUCAUCUACUUAUUACUUCCCAAUGCCUUCCUCUAGGCCCAAACAAUGGUGAAGUGUCAUGUAGUCGACGUUCACAUGACACCACUAGAGGAAAGACAACAUACAUCUCAUCAAAAUAUCGAACGAAUACCAAAUUCACAUGACUACUUAUAGCAAGACUUCUCCCAUGUCCUCAGGAACAAACGUAACUACUCACAAAGCAUAUUCACGUACAUAAUCAGAGGGGUAUUAAUAUGCAUAAUGGAUCUUAACAUAUGAUCUUCCACCAAGUAAACCAACUAGCAUCAACUACAAGGAGUAAUCAACACUACUAGCAACCCACAUGUACCAAUAUGAGGUUUGGAUACAAAGAUUGGAUACAAGAGAUGAACUAGGGUUUGAGAUGAGAUGGUGCUGGUGAAGAUGUUGAUGGAGAUUGACCCCCUCCCAAUGAGAGGAUCGUUGGUGAUGACGAUGGUGAUGAUUUCCCCCUCCCGGAGGGAAGUUUCCCCGGCAGAACAGCUCCGCCGGAGCCCUAGAUUGGUUCCGCCUCAUGGCGGCGAAGUUUUGUCCCAUGAGCUAGCUUAUAAUUUUUUCCUCGACGAAAGACUCCAUAUAGACAAAGAUGGGCAUCAUAGGGCCACCAGGAGGCCCACGAGGCAGGGGCGCGCCUAGGGGGCUAGUGCGCGCCCCACCCUCGUGGACAGUGGGUGGCCCCCCUCUGGUACUUUCUUCGCUCAGUAUUUUUUAUAUAUUCUGAAAAUAAUUCCCAUGGAGUUUCAGGACUUUUGGAGAUGUGUGGAAUAGGUCUCUAAUAUUUGCUCCUUUCCCAGCCCAGAAUUCCAGCUGCCGGCAUCUCCCCUUUAUGUAAACCUUGUAAAAUAAGAGAGAAUAGGCAUAAGUAUUGUGACAUAAUGCAUAACAACAGCCCAUAAUGCAAUAAAUAUCGAUAUAAAAACAUGAUGCAAAAUGGACGUAUCAACUCCCCCAAGCUUAGACCUCGCUUGUCCUCAAGCGAAAGUCGAAAUCGAAAAAUAUGUCCACAUGUUUAGAGAUAGAGGUGUCGAUAAAAAUAAAAUACGGACAUGAGGGCAUCAUGCUCAUUAUUAUAACAGCAACAUAUGUAUAUUGUCAUAUGAUCUCUUGUGCUAAAGUAACAAUUCAUUCACAGUUUCAAGUAUGAAUCAUAAACUUUAUUGAAAACUAAUAGACAAUAAUUGCAGUCAUUGAAGCAAUUGCAAUUUAUCAUAACAUCGGAAAGAGUCAAUAUAAGAGCUUUUCAGCAAGUCCACAUACUCAACUAUCAUUUAGUCUUUCACAAUUGCUAACACUCAUGCAAUAUUUAUGGGUAUGAAGUUUUAAUUGGACACAGAGAAAGAUAGGGGCCUAUAGUUUUGCCUCCCAACCUUUUACCUCAGGGGUAAUGUCAACAAUAAUAGUUCAUGAAAACUCACAUCCAAUUAGCUAUAUAUAUCAGGAUCUUUCCAACACAUUGUGCUUGCCAAAGGAUAAAAUGUAAAAAGGAAAGGUGAAGAUCACCAUGACUCUUAUAUGAAGUAUAAGACAAGAAUAAAAGAUAGGCCCUUCGCAGAGGGAAGCAGAGGUUGUCAUGUGCUUUAUGGUUGGAUGCACAAAAUCUUAACAUAAAAGAACGACACUUUAUAUUGCCACUUGUGAUAUGGACCUUUAUUAUGCAGUCCGUCGCUUUUAUUUCUUCCACAUCACAAGAUCGUAUAAAUCUUAUUUUCUCCGUGCUAAUAAAUCAUACAUAUUUAGAGAGCAAUCUUUUAUUGCUUGCAACGAUGACAACUUACUUGAAGGAUCUUACUCAAUCCAUAGGUAUAUAUGGCAGACACUCAUGGCAAAACUGGCUUUAAAGAUAUUUGGAAGCACAAGUAGUAUUUGUACUUGGUGCAAAGAACUUGGCUAGCAUGAGAGGGAAAGGCAAGCUCAACAUGUUGGAUGAUCCAUGACAAUAUAAUUUAUCUCAGAUGUAAGAAAACAUAACCCAUUACGUUGUCUUCCUUGUCCAACGUCAACUCUUUAGCAUGUCAUAUUUUAAUGAGUGCUCACAAUCAUAAAAGAUGUCCAAGAUAGUAUAUUUAUAUGUGAAAACCUCUCUUUCUUUAUUACUUACUAUUAAUUGCAACGAUGACCAAGAUUAUGCUUGUCAACUCUCAACAACUUUUAUUCAUCAUACUCUUUAUAUCUGAAGUCAUUACUCUCCAUAAGAUCCACAUGAUCUCUUUAUUUCCUUUUUAUUAUUUCUCCUUUAUUUUUAUUCUUAUUCCCUCUAGAUCAUAGCAAGAUAAUCAAGCCCUUGACUCAACACUAAUCUUUAUUAUAUAAAGCUCAUAGACUCGAUUACAUAGAAGCAUCAUAAAGCAAAACUCAAAACUAGAUCAUGCUAGAACUUUAUGCUACUUGAUCAAGAUAUUACCAAAAGGAUCGAACUAAGAAAAACGUUAAAGAUAAAGGUGUAGUGGUGAUACGAUACCGGGGCACUCCCCCAAGCUUGGCAGUUGCCAAGGGGAGUGCCCAUACCCAUGUAUUUAUGUCUCCUUCUUCAGAUAUGGUGUCAUGAUAUUCUUGGCGAUGAUACCGUUUAGGAUACGUUCUCCUCCUCAAGCUUAUUGACUUGCUGCUUGAGGUCCAUUAUUUCCUUACGGAGCUUGUCCAUGACGGCUAAAGCACCUUUCACCCAAUGAUGUUGCAUAGCUGCAGGAGGACAAAUUACACUCUUUUUCAUAUUUUCAUAAGAAAGAAAUCUAACGUUGGAAGGGAUGACCGAGUUUGGAAUAGUCGAGCUCCGUAGUUCCCCCAUCGUGAAUCCGGCUCGGAGACGAGAAGUAACUUCUUGAUCCUCCUCCAUGGCAUCUAUCCUUUUCAAGUUUGCCUCCAUCUCUUCCUCAGUUGAUGGCCCAAAGUGGCCAGCAUCACUGUUUGCUCUUGGUCCCGGUGUCGGAUGAGACACUUAGCUCUCCCCGAUUGACUCUUGAGAAGACAUCUUGUCCUAAAUCUGCAGCAGAAAUAGCUCGAAACAAAGACAGAGGAUAUUUGCGUGAUACGAUGGUUAAAACCUUCGGGAGAUUAUAUAAUGAAUUUUUACCGACCAAAAGAAGUAUCCUGCAAGAAAACGGAGUCCGGAGGGCACACAAGGUGCCCACGAGGUAGGGGGCGCGCCCAGGGGGUAGGGCACGCCCUCCACCCUCGUGGAAGCCCCGUGUCCUUUCUGGACUGCUUCUUAUUUUCCUAUUUUCUUAAAUAUUCCAAAACGGAGAAAAAUUGCCAUUAGAACUGUUUUGGAGUCGGUUUACUUACCGUACCACGUACCUAUUCCUUUUUGGAGUCUGAAAUGUUCUGAAAAGUGUCCCUUAUGUAUUACUCAGGGGUUACGGUUUCAAUAACAUUAGUUUCAACAUUUAUAGGAUUACCUGAGACAUAAUAUUUGAUUCUUUGACCAUUCACCACCCUCGGAUUUGUGCCUUCGAAGUUGUUGAUUUUUAUGGCACCGGAACGAUAGACCUCCUCGAUGAUGUAAGGACCUUCCCAUUUAGAGAGGAGUUUGCCUGCAAAAAAUCUUAAACGAGAGUUGUAUGGCAAUACAUAAUCACCUGCAUUAAACUCACACUUUUGUAUCCUUUUAUCAUGCCAUCUUUUAACUUUUUCUUUAAACAAUUUGGCAUUUUCAUAAGCCUGGGUUCUCUAUUCAUCAAGUGAGCUAAUGUCAAAAAGCCUCUUCUCACCGGCAAGUUUGAAGUCAUAAUUGAGCUCUUUAAUGGCUCAAUAUGCCUUAUGUUCUAAUUCGAGAGGUAAGUGACAUGCUUUUCCAUAAACCGUUUUAUACGGAGACAUACCCAUAGGAUUUUUGUAUGCAGUUCCAUAGGCCCAUAAUGCAUCAUCAAGUUUAUUGGACCAAUUCUUUCUAGAUCUAUUAACAGUUAUUUGCAAAAUUAAUUUAAGCUCUCUAUUACUCAAUUCUACUUGACUGCUAGACUACAGGUGAUAAGGAGAUGCAAUUCUAUGAUUAACAUCAUACUUAGCAAGCAUCUUACGAAAGGCACCAUGAAUAAAAUGUGAACCACCAUCAGUCAUUAAGUAUCUAGGGACUCCAAACCUUGGAAAAAUAACUUCUUUAAGCAUCUUAAUAGAGGUGUUAUGAUCAGCACUACUAGUUGGAAUAGCUUCUACCCACUUAGUAACGUAAUCAACAGCAACUAAAAUAUGAGUAUACCCAUUAGAGGAAGGAAACAAUCCCAUAUAAUCAAAGCCCCAAACAUCAAAUGGUUCAAUAACAAGUGAAUAAUUCAUAGGCAUUUCUUGACGUCUACUAAUAUUACCUAUUCUUUGACAUUCAUCGCAAGACAAAACAAACUUACGGGCAUCCUUGAAGAGAGUAGGCCAAUAAAAACCGGAUUGCAAUACCUUGUGUGCAGUUCUAUCUCCAGCAUGGUGUCCUCCGUAAGCCUCGGAGUGACACUUGCGUAGGAUCUAUUCCUAUUCAUGCUCAGGUACACAACGUCUAAUAACACCGUCUAGCCCUUCUUUAUAAAGAUGUGGGUCAUCCCAGAAGUAAUGUCUUAAAUCAUAGAAGAACUUUUUCUUUUGCUGGUAUGUGAAACUAGGUGGUAUAAACUUAGCAACAAUAUAAUUAGCAUAAUCAGCAUGCCAUGGAGCAGUACGAGAAGCAUUUAUGACAGCUAAUUGUUCAUCAGGAAAGCUAUCAUCAAUAGGUAGUGGGUCAUCAAGAACAUUUUCUAACCUAGACAAGUUGUCUGCAACGGGGUUCUCGGCUCCCUUUCUAUCAAUAAUAUGCAAAUCAAAUUCUUGUAGCAAGAGAACCCAUCUAAUAAGUCUAGGUUUAGCAUCUUUCUUUUCCAUAAGAUAUUUAAUAGCAGCAUGAUCAGUGUGAACCGCCACUUUAGAAUCAACAAUAUAAGGCCUGAACUUAUCACAAGCAAAUACAACUGCUAAAAAUUCUUUUUCAGUAGUAGCUGAUACGUCUCCAACAUAUCUAUAAUUUUGAUUGUUCCAUGCUAUUAUAUAUUCUGUUUUGGAUGUUAAUGGGCUUUAUUUUACACUUUUAUAUUAUUUUUGGGACUAACCUAUUAACCCAAGGCCCAGUGCAAAUUGCUGUUUUUUUGCCUAUUUCAGUGUUUCGCAGAAAAGGAAUAUCAAACGGAGUCCAAACGGAAUGAAACCUUCGGGAGUGUGAUUUUUGGAACAAACAUGAUCUAGAGGACUUGGAGUGGACGUCAAGAAAUCAACGAGGCGUCCACCAGGUAGGGGGCGCGCCUACCCCCUAGGUGCGCCCUCCCCCCUCAUGGGCCUCUCGUUGCUCCACUAACCUACUUCUUCCUCCUAUAUAUAUUCAUGUACCCCCAAAACAACCAGGAGCACCACGAAACCCUAUUUCCACCGCCGCAACCUUCUAUACCCAAGAGAUCCCAUCUUGGGGCCUUUUCUGGAGCUCCGCCGGAGGGGGCAUCGAUCACAGAGGGCCUCUACAUCAACUCCAUGGCCUCUCCGGUGAUGUGUGAGUAGUUUACUUCAGACCUUCGGGUCCAUAGCUAGUAGCUAGAUGGCUUCUUUUCUCUCUUUGGAUCUCAAUACAAUGUUCUCCUCGAUCUUCUUGGAGCUCUAUUUGAUGUAACUCUUUUUGUGGUGUGUUUGUCGAGAUCCGACGAAUUGUGGGUUUAUGAUCAAGUCUAUCUAUGAACAAUAUUUGAAUUUUCUCCGAAUCUUUUAUGCAUGAUUGGUUAUCUUUGCAAGUCUCUUCGAAUUAUCAGUUUGGUUUGGCCUACUAGAUUGAUCUUUCUUGCAAUGGGAGAAGUGCUUAGCUUUGGGUUCAAUCUUGCGGUGCUCGAUCCUAGUGACAGAAAGGGAAACGACAUGUAUUAUAUUGUUGCCAUCGAGGAUAAAAAGAUGGGGUUUAUAUCAUAUUGCUUGAGUUUAUCCCUCUACAUCAUGUCAUCUUACCUAAUGCGUUACUCUGUUCUUAUGAACUUAAUACUCUAGAUGCAUGCUGGAUAGCGGUCGAUGUGUGGAGUAAUAGUAGUAGAUGCAGGAAGGAGUCGGUCCAGUUGUGACAGACGUGAUGCCUAUAUACAUGAUCAUGCCUAGAUAUUCUCAUAAUUAUUUGCUUUUAUAUCAAUUGCUCGACAGUAAUUUAUUCACCCACCAUAAUACUUAUGCUAUCUUGAGAGAAGCCACUAGUGAAACCUAUGGCACCCGGGUCUAUUCUCAUCAUAUUAAUCUCCCAUUAUCAAGUUAUUCCUUGCACCGUUUAUUUUGCAAUCUUUACUUUUUUCUUUAUUAUAAAAAUACCAAAAAUAUUAUCUUAUCAUAUCUAUCAGAUGUCACUCUCGUAAGUGAUCGUGAAGGGAAUGACAACCCCUUUAUCGCGUUGGUUGCGAGGUUCUUAUUUGUUUGUGUAGGUACGAGGGACUUGCGUGUGGCCUCCUACUGGAUUGAUACCUUGGUUCUCAAAAACUGAGGGAAAUACUUACGCUACUUUGCUGCAUCACCCUUUCCUCUUCAAGGGAAAACCAAUGGAGUGCUCAAGAGGUAGCAAGAAGGAUUUCUGGUGCCGUUGCCGGGGAGUCUAUGCACAAGCCAAGACAUAACAAGUACCCAUCACAAACUCUUAUCCCUCGCAUUACAUUAUUUGCCAUUUGCCUCUCGUUUUCCUCUGCCCCACUUCACCCUUGCUGUUUUAUUCGCCGUCUUUUUCCGUUCCCCUUCUCUUUUCUAGUUAGUCUCCUUUUGCUUGCUUCUUGUUUGCCUAUGUGUUGGAUUGCUUGCUUGUCACAAUGGCUGAAGAUAAUACUAAAUUGUGUGACUUUGCCAAUACCAACAACAAUGAUUUUAUUAGCACUCUGAUUGCUCCUCUUACUGAUGCUAAAUCUUGUGAAAUUAAUGCUGCUUUGCUGAAUCUUGUCAUGAAAGAUCAAUUCGCCGGCCAGCCUAGUGAAGAUGCCGCUACCCAUCUAAAUAACUUUGUUGAUUUAUGUGAUAUGCAAAAGAAGAAAGAUGUGGACAAUGAUAUUGUUAAACUGAAGCUAUUUCCGUUUUUGCUUAGAGAUCGUGCUAAAUCUUGGUUUUCGUCUUUGCCUAAAAAUAGUAUUGAUUCAUGGAAUAAGUGCAAAGAUGCUUUUAUCUCUAAGUAUUUUCCUCCUACUAAGAUCAUCUCUCUUAGGAACGAUAUUAUGAACUUUAAACAAUUAGAUCAUGAGCAUGUUGCACAAUCUUGGGAAACGAUGAAAUCAAUGAUCCGUAAUUGCCCUACUCAUGGUUUGAAUCUUUGGAUGAUUAUACAAAAUUUUUAUGCCGGAUUGAAUUUUGCUUCUAGAAAUCUUUUAGAUUCGACCGUGGCAUGCACUUUUAUGCAAAUCACUUUAGGAGAAGAUACUAAACUCCUAGAUAAUAUUAUGGUUAAUUAUUCUGAAUGGCACUGAGGGAGUCCUGGAUUAGGGGGUAUCCGGACAGCCGGGCUAUAUCCUUUGGCCGGACUGUUGGACUAUGAAGAUACAAGAUUGAAGACUUCGUCCCGUGUCCGGAUGGGACUUUCCUUGGCGUGGAAGCAAGCUUGGCAAUACGGAUAUGUGGAUCUCCUCCCUUGUAACCGACUCUAUGUAACCCUAGCCCCCUCCGGUGUCUAUAUAAACCGGAGGGUUUAGUCCGUAGGACAACAAACAAUCAUACCAUAGGCUAGCUUCUAGGGUUUAGCCUCUACGAUCUCGUGGUAGAUCAACUUGUGUAAUACUCAUAUCAUCAAGAUCAAUCAAGCAGGACGUAGGGUAUUACCUCCAUCAAGAGGGCCCAAACCUGGGUAAACAUCGUGUCCCCCGCCUCCUGUUACCAUCCACCUUGGACGCACAAUUCGGGACCCCCUACCCGAGAUCCGCCGGUUUUGACACCGGCAUUGGUGCUUUCAUUGAGAGUUCCACUGUGCCAUCACCGUAAGUCUUGAUGGCUCCUUCGAUCAUCGGUAACGAUGCGGUCCAGGGUGAGGUUUUCCUCCCCGGACAGAUCUUCGUAUUCGGUGGCUUCGCACUGCGGGCCAACUCUCUUGGCCAUCUGGAGCAGAUCGAGAGCUACGCCCCUGGCCAUCAGGUCAGGUUCGGAAACUUAAACUACACUACCGACAUCCGUGAAGACUUGAUCUUCGAUGGAUUCGAGCCCAUGUCAGGUGCACCGCACAAUCACGACAAGCAUGACGUAACUCUGCCGUCGGAUAGUGUUUGGGAAAUCACACCUGCAACUACUCCAGCCUUCAAUCCGAAGCAAAUUGCGCCAUUCGAGGAUGGGUGGAUAGAUCCCGCCAUGGAGGCCGCACUCUUAGUGGCGAUAGAGCCAGAUACUGACUUCACCCCUUACGAGAGCCGUGUUGCCGAACCAUUGGAUUCAUCUCUGACCACGGACUCCGAGCCGCCUGCGUCCAUGCCUAUCGAAUCCGAUUGGGCGCCGAUCAUGGAGUUCAUCUCCGCGGAUAUCUUUCAGCACUCACCUUUCGACCACGCGCUAAAUUCAUUAAGGUCAAUAGUAAAAAAAAUUCAUUAAGGUCUCUCUCCUUGUCAGGAGAACCUUGGCCGAACUAUGUCCAGC